rnacentral:lncRNA from 1 species
GUUCCCCCAUAUUUUGUUUAUUUGUUAUUUAUGGUACUUAUUUAUGGUAUUUAUAUAUCCUGCAUAGGCUAGGUAGACAGGUUAUGAUGUAGUUUGGUUGGCUCUUCUUGUGCUUUGUGCAAUUUGUAACUGCAGAUACCUGCGGGAAAACAUUUAAUGGAUCUUGUUGCUGUUGAUUGGUUCAAAGACACAAAGAGAAUGGACCAUGUAACUAGGCAUCAAAGCUGUGCUGCACAAGUAACUAUUCUUCUCUUUUUUAUUUUUCCUUUUCCAUUGACGGAUUAGAAGAAAAUACUGCCUGUGAGAUACUGUAAUGUAAAUAACUUCUCAUGGUUCAUUGAAUCUAUAACACACUGACCCUCUUCUAAAAAAUGUAGGUUGCUUCUGAAAAAGGGCUUUUCUCACUGAUCUUUAAUCUUCAAGUAAGUUUGUUUCAUUUCAGAAGGUAUUAAGUUUCAAACUUAUUGUAUUGGGAGGUUGUAUAGUUGUAACCUAAGCAUCUGCAGGUUCCUGGUUCAACACAUUAUAGUAUGGUAUUUUAUUUUGUCACAAGGCAAUUGGCUAUGGGAUCACUUUUGCAACGGUUUGUUGAUGGCGAUGAUGAGUUUCGCAAUAGUAGGUUGAAACUUAUUCCAUCUGUUCCUAAGGUAUCCAUCUUGGCCUUCAUGUAUUAGGACUAUAUUAAUGUAUACUUACCCUUUACUGCAUGGUACACUUCAAUUUGUCCAAAGAAGGCAUGCAUUUAGGUGAAAAUGUAUUGAUGGGUUGUACCUUCAAACUUCAUGUCCUUUUUACCCUCUUGAAUUUGUUUUGCACUUGUUCUUGAUUUUAAGCACUGAAUCAUGCAGGGGUCAUGGAUCGUGCGUCAGAGUGUUGGAAGCACCCCUUGUUCGUUAGGGAAAGCGGUUGAUUGUAACUAUAUUCGCAGUCCCAAGUACUUAGAAGUAAAUGCUCUUGGAAUUUCUAUAGUACAUGAGAUGUUCAUCUUUCAAAUAGCAUCCGAUACCAUUAACAUGGUUUAACAUUGUUCAUCUUUCUGUAGAUUGAUGUUGACAUUGGUUCUUCUACCGUUGCUAAUGGAGUUUUGGGCCUUGUAAUUGCUGUAAUUACGACAUUGGUGGUUGACAUGGCUUUCCUUGUACAGGUAUGUAUGAUUGUUUUUUUCCCCCACUUCUAAAUGGACACAAGGGAAAAGACAUGAUUUUGAGAUAUUGCACUGCAAUUUGCAUUUUUGCAUACUUGAAUGUUCUCAGAAUGGUAUAAUGCUUCGUGUGUGUCUUCUUUAUCUUGCUCUUCUGUAUGCAGGCAAAUACUGCAGAUGAAUUACCGGAGCGGCUGAUUGGUGCUGUAGGUGUUUCUCAUAUAGAACUCAAGUCUGCUGUUGUCCCAAAGUUGGAACCAGAGAUAUCAUGACUGUGGUUUCAUUUCACCUCAACUGUGUUUUUUUUUUAAUUAAAAAAAAUCAUUUGUUUUAGGUAUAUACAUACAUGUAUUUUGAUUCGAUUUUCAUUGUAAUUUCUCAUUUACUUCGAAUGAAAGUCAUUGGUGUUUUCGAAUGGGGAUUUUGCAUUAAAAAAUGAACAAUAGUGAAUAGGAAAUUUCCUGAUUCUUUAGUUACUAUUUUUGGUACGAGUGUAAUUAGUAGUAAAGUUGGUUUCUACUCGCAAACAAGUAAACUGCUCGAUUCCCGAGUGGUAUCAACCAGUUUCCAACUUUUUAAUAUACACUAAUUGUUCUUGUUUAAGAGAUACUACUAUUAAAACUCAACAGCUAACAAAAUUACUCAAAAAAGAUGAUUUUUCUUAUGAUGCUGUGAAGAAAAUUACGGGUUUACUUCUCUCCACGAGAUCUAUAACAUGGUUUUGACUUCACGAAAUUCUUUUAAUUUAAAGCAUGCUGGUGUGAGAAGGUCAGUUUGACUGAUUGAUUCUUCAAAAAUAUUCUUAUUCUGAUAUUGUCACAAAUGUUAUGCUGUUUCGGCUAAUGAUCUCCUAUUAGGAGAGGUUAGAAAUCAAAUGCUUAAAAGACCGAUUGAACGAAUAAUACAGAAAAUUUAAGCAGAAUCUAAUCGAAUAUUGCAUGAAACAUGAAACAUCAAUUCAAGUCCUUUCUUAAACGGAGAAUGCAUCAAACAAAAUCUAAAGUGUCUUGCACGUCUGUAGCAUGAGCAAAAAAUUGUAAAUAUGUAGAACCAAAUUAUUCAAGUACAGAAGAACGAGCAAGCUGAAUCAUGUAUUAGAGAUUGGCCUGGUUCGGGAUAGCUUCUUCACUAUACCUGAAUAAUUUGCUAAAUAGCACCAAAACUUAAUUGAUACUUACCAUUUCAUUGAACAAUUUUUUUAUGGUGUCAUUGAGGUUGCCUUCCCAACAUCCUUCAUCAUCAUCAUCUUUUUCUUCUUCGGUGACGUUCACUUUGUUUAGCAUUGGUGUGUCUAAGACUCCUUGAGAGAAGAUCUUCAUUUUUGGACACUGUCUCACAACUACUUGUUUCAAGGACGGGAAUUCAAGAGCGUAAUUACCCAAACAAAAGCUUGUUAGGCUUGGCAAACAAUCAAGUCCUAAGUACUCCAAUUCCUCGAAACCAUUGCAAUCUUUCGCUUCUUCUCCAACCUGCGAUUGUAUGAUUUCUUCUAUCAUUUUGCAAUCAGCUAUCUUCAUUCUUCCGAGAUUAACCAGAUUUUUAGAUGCUGAGAGCGUCAACACAUUUAUCAACCCGUGACACUUCGAUACUUCCAGUCCCCACAUAUUUUCCAAAUGCCACGAAGGUGGUACUAAUUUUUGCAACUUACUACAUUCCGAUAUUUCUAGACUUCCCAAGUUUGCAAACGCUUUGUUGGAUUCGUCAUUUUCCUUCCAGAUAUGCUGCACUUUGUGUAAUCCAGAUAGUGUUAACCAACUCAAUUUAGGGAAUGCAACCUGAAAAUCAACAAAAUUAAUUAAGUUGUAAAUGAAAAUAUGUAUCCAAUCUCUGGAGUCUUCCCCUGCAUAUUUUAUGGACAAGAUUAAUCACGGCAUUUUAUAUUUUUUUUCCAAAUUAGUAUGCUUUGCAGUAGGAUCCCAAAUAUAAGUAUCAAAUCGAUUACCCUUUGAAACACAUAAAUGAAAUCUGAUCCUAAAUCCAAUAUGAAUUAACACGCAUAAUUAAUAUAGUUCAUCACCUCAUGUCACUAGGCAUCUAAUUAAUUUGAGACAUUUUAAUAAUUUAUACUAUAAAGUUAGUUAAUAACUGCGGUUAUAUUGUUAAAUCAUAUAUAAAUUAAGACGACAUGCAAAAAGAUGAGUCAUUAAAUUUGAUUUGAUUCUAAUGAAAUUACAUCUAUGCGAACGAAAGUGAUGGGAAUAAUCAUCAUCAUCAUAAUAAUAAUAAUAAUAAUAAUAAUAAUAAUCACCUUUUCAUCGAAGAGAGGUUGUAGUUGAUGAGCCAGCAAGAAGUUCUCUUCUGAUGUUAAUUUCUGAGGUUCCUUGUUAUCUGUUGUCACGUGCACUACAGAUGUAGAAUUGGAUAUGAAUGUUUCCUUAUCAGGGCAAUUCUCAAUAGUUAGAUAGUCCAACUCAGGCAGUUCAAUUAUAUUCCCAGUGAAGUUGCAGAAUCUUUUGAGUUUUGGAAGAUCAAUGAGCCUUAGAUUGGAAAGCUUAGGAAACAUGGGGCCUAUAUGUUCUUCCUUGGCAUUUAGCUCUUCCAAAUGAAGCACCUCUUCUAGUGAAUCACAAUUCGUCACUGUCAGGUAUUGCAAAUUGUUCAAGCACCGUAGCAGAUUGGCAGGAAUAGCACUCGACAUAUUCGUGCAGUCAUCCACCACCAGGUCACUUAAAUUGUUGAAGAAGCUGACAGGCAGUGCUUGGCCAUGCCAUAUUUCUUGCAAACGUGGAAAAUGCGAGAGUUGCAAAUACUCUAUAUCACGGAAUCCAAUCUGCACAAACCAAAACUAUUGCACUGGAUAUAUACAAUUUUUUUUAAAGGCAUUAGAUAUAUAUAUAUAUACACACACACACACAUUAAACUUACAUGUUUUGUGUUUUAACUUCUAAAACUACAUAUACAAGGUAGGUGUAUAUGUUUAAAUGUGCAAGCGUAGGGGAGAUGCAUGAACAAUUUGGGUGAAUCGAUUAACACAGACCAUCUUUUUGUAACAUAUUUUUAAAUGUGCAAGUGCAAGGGAGAUGCAUAAGCAAUUUGGACGAAUCGAUUAACACAUACCAUUUCUUCGUAGCCCUUUUGUAUAAAGGAAUUAAGGUUAUCGCCUUCCCGAUGGUACAAUUCACCCUCUUCCUUUUUACUAACUUGCACUUUGCAUGGCUUUGGAAUGGAUAAGAUUCCGUGAGAAAAAGUCUUCAUGUUCGGACAAUGUGUCACAGAAACUCGUUCCAGUGAUGGGAAUUCAAGAGUAUAAUUCUCCAAACAAAAGCUGGUAAGCCUUGGUAAAUCAUCAAGUAUCAAAACUUUUAAUUUACUGAAAGCAAUAUGAUUCUCCUUCGCUUCUUCUCCAACAUGUCUUAUGAUUUCUUCUAAUUUUGUGCACUUCGAUACAUUAAGAUUCACCAGACUACUAGGAAUUCCAACCUGAAAAUAAGCAAAAGUGUGUGUAUAUUAAAAAAGUAAAAAUGUAAGAAUAUCAUUCAACUAGGUUCAAAGUAUGUUUAAUCAUACAAUUAUACGUUUUAUAAACAUAACAAACCAUGAAAUGUCUACUAGAUAAUUUUUUAUUAAACAAAAAAAGCAACAAGAUAAAUAAAUAAAUAAAAGCCAGAUAAACAAAGAUAAUAAAAAUGCAUUUACACUAUUUACUAUUGGGAACGUAGAAAGAAUUUAAGGCAAUUUCUAAAUAUUUUAGACUUAUUUUGCAUCUUGAUAUCAGUUUUUAAGCAUAAAUUUACAAAUUUCAACUAUUCCUUUUAGGGAAAAAAAAUUCAACCAAAAUGCCGCUUUUUCCCUUUUCCUUGGUCCCUUUUUUUAUGUACAUUUAAAAAUGGAAAAAAAAAAUUGGAAAAGACUUCCCAAUAUUGUCAAUAAGGGACUGCUGCUGUAAAGUGGAUCUUUAUUAAGUACUUCCAGACUCAAGGAAAUUUCUUUACAAUCACGGGUCAGUUGUAAAUAAUCAUGAAUUUGUGGUUAAUUAAUGGCAUAAUCAAUUCGUAACUAAACAAGAGAUAUUAAUUAAAUUUGAAGACUUUUAUUUUCUUUUUUUCUUUUUCCAAUCGAAAUGUGAAGAAUUAAGGAAAAGAGAAAUAUAUAGAUGAAUUUGUGAACCUAUAAGAUGAGUGACGAUCCUUUAAUUUUUGAAAAUCGUACUUAUUAAGAUAUGAGCAAAAACUAUUUAAUUGAAUUAUAUUAUGCUGUUGAAUCGUGUUUAAAAAAUUUAUAUUGUUGAUUCUAAUGCUGACGAACCUAAAAACUGGACCUAAAACGUAGAUUUCAGAGUGGUGGUUCGAAGUACGAUACUUGAAAUAAAUAAUCAGUGGCUGAAUAUCAUUUGUAAACAAAAAAUGGUUAAAAUAUUGUUGGAUGUAAUUUGAAAAAAAAAAAAAAAGAUUCGAAAUGAAUACACUCAAAUAUCUCCAAAUUCUUCAAUUUGCUGAAAGACUCCAAAGCAAGCUGGUGGUGCCAUAUUCUUCUCAAAUUAUCCAUCGACCUAAUACGUAAUACCUCCAAACUAGGAAGUCGUACCUGGCAGUUAAAGAUUAAAUAACUAAUUAAUCAAUUAAUGGCAUAAUCAAUUGAUAACUAAAUUAGAGGCGGAUAUUAACUAAAUUUGAAGAAGACUCACGGAAAAGACAAAUUAAAUAUUAUGACUAAAAUUAAUUUUUUUUAUUAAAAAAAAAACCUUUUCGUCAAAGAGAGGAGGAGGUUGCAUUUCAGAAUGAAUGGUGUCUUCUGGUGAGCUCGUAGAGAUGAAUCUUAACAUAUUACUGCAACUCUGAAUCUCGAGCUUUAGCAAAGAAGGGAAUUCAACGACUAAAUCUGAAUGAAUAUGUCCCGUAUUGGCAAAGCUUGUUAGUUCAUAAAGCGCUUCUAGCUGCAGGGAGUGUAGCUUAGGAAAAACCUUUAAUUCAAUCAACUUUCCUUCAUCUCUUUCUGACCACCCCGUGGUGUCGACUACCCCUUCCAUUGAAUCACAAAGCCUUAUCUCAAGAUGUUGGAGUUGCAUCAGACGAUUACAAUUCCCCACGUACAGCUUUGUUAAAUUUUGACAACAGUACAUUCCUUGAUUAUGAUCGGCCCAUAAUUUUUUCAUGUUUCUUAAGUCCCAGAGAUUCAAUUCCUCUAAGCUCGGAAGAAUAACCUGCAAAGAAAACCCGUACAUUUUUGUUCCUUCAAGUACAACCGUCUAGUAUAAUAUUCUUUUGAUGAUCGAAGAUUAAUCGUGAUAAUAAAUUAAUCAAUUAAUUAUUGAACAGAAAAUUAUCACCUUUGGAGCAGUAUCAUCAUCAGCAAUGAUUUCGUUGAAUCCCAAAGAAGUUGUUGGUUUCUCCCUGUCGGGUCCUAUAAACAAACAAAAACAAUAUACAUAAUUAAUCUUUGUCGUUGUCUUUUUUUUUUCAAAAUAAUUGAGGCGAAGUCCAUAAAUCCACCAACACUUAACUUCAACACUUACCAACCAUCAUUUCCAGAUCAUGGCAAAAAGCCACUUUGACCUUUUGAAGCCGCAGUAGGUUUUUGGCUAUGGAGAAUGAGAAAAGAUGCUUUAAUUUGUGACAGGAUUGUACUCCUAUAAUCCUUAAGUUGCUGAAAGAUUGAUCUUCUGUGAGUUGGCUGUCACAUAUUGUCUCCAAAUUGUUCAAAUUGCGAAGAGACAAUGACACCAGCAAGGGGAAGACUUUGCGACGAACCCGUCCAACUGAACCGACAAUAUGCAAAAUCUCAGAACAACUUUCUACAGAAAGAUGCUUCAAUCGUGGAAAACCUUCCCCAUCAUCUAAUUCAUGAACAACAUUCUGAACACCCUUCAGUUCGUUUAGAUGGAUCUCUUCGGCUUCCUUCAGCAACAUUUUCGUCCCAUAAUUCUCCAAAAGAGUGCUAACAUUUUCUAGCCCAUGGAGCCCCACCAAUCUUGAUGUUUCAGAAUUAACGGGCCAAAUGCGCCACCACGCUUCUCCUAUACAUAUCUUAUAGCUUUGCAAUUCCACAGAGACCCAAUCCUGCGGCAGAAUUUGGGCAUCCGGAACUUGUAUAUUCAAAGUAGUUAGCUUUGACAGCCCCUUCAAUUCAGCAAGACUGGCGUUACUUCCUCCUUCAACCUUAUCCCACUGCGAAAAGCUGUCACCCAUAUAUAGUUCUUCCAAUCGAGAAAAUUUUGAUAUGACAUUUGGUGCUAUCACUACAAGGCUCCUACAAUUGCUCAAAUCUAGCAAUUGUAACCGCGUCAAUUGUCCAAUUUCAAGCGGUAACUGCUUAAUGUCGGAACCUCGAAAGCUAAGAAUCUCUAAUUUCUUUAGCUGUCCAAUUGCCGCUAUAUCUUCUAGUUGGCACCAGUCUAAACACAAUGUUUGAAGGUUAAUGAGGCGACCAAGUGAUGAAGGUAAUGAAGAGAAAGGAAUUCUAGUAAGAGUUAAAACUUUGAGUUCUUCUGUCCCUUCAAAAAAGAGGUCUGAAAUUUGCAUUGAGCUAUAACGCUUUGAAAACAACAAAAGUAACUGGAGACGGGGACAUCCCAACCUUUCGGGAAGCUCUUGAAUAUCUCUCUGGGGUAAUGAAAUGGCAAUUGGAUCUUUCCGUAUUGUCUCUUCCAUCUUUUUCUCCACGUCAUCAACAUUUGGAAUAUUAAACAUGCGCUCCCCUGCAGCAAUUGAUACAGCAACAACAUGAAUGACGUCAUGCAUUUUAACUUCAUCUUCAGCAUCACCGUCCAACAAUAAGCAUGAAGAUUUGAGAUUGUCGAUCAACCGAUGCACUCUACUCCUUGCUUCUUCCAAUGUGUAAACAUUUUCAAACAAACCCCAACCCACGCCAUAUCUCAAUAAGCCAGAAACUUGUAUCGCAUGACCUUCACUGUACAGACCACAAAGACGGAACAGAGGUUUUGCCUCCGCACUUUCCAAAAAGUCGUAACUCAAUUUUAUGGAGGUGUACACAUUUGCUUUCAUGCCAUGAAUUUCUCUUGCAUGCGAUCUUCUUAGCUGAUUCAAUGCAUCUUGCCAAAAGUAACGCUCCUUAUUUUUCAGAGCAUUUGCAACUGUACUCAGUGCAACAGGCAAACCUCCGCAUUUUUCAACGAUCUCAUUUGCUGUACUUUGAAAAUCAGAUAUUUUAGUUGAAUCACCCACUAUCUUCUCAAAUAACUGCAAUGCUUCUUCUUUCGAUAAAGCAUCGAUCCAGAAAAUUUUCUGACAAUUCAUAUCAUUGCACAAUAAAUCUCCACUUCUAGACGUCAAUAUUAUUGUGCAUCUUCUCUGAUCAUCCUCUCUAUCUUUCUCAUCAACAUCCCCAGAAGGAAUUCCAACUUCAUCGAACUUCAGUUCUCUCCAAAUGUUAUCCAAUAUAAUCAGGACCCGCUUCUCUUUCUUCAAUACUCGACGUAGUCGAUUUGCUCUGUCGAAUAUAUUCUCAUUCAACUCAAACUUUAUGCCUAAAUCAGAAGCAAGUUUGUCUUGAAUUUUCUGAUGAUCUGGGUUCUCUGUUAUCUCAGCCAUAGCGACCUUAUCGAACCACUUAUCUUCCAUCACUUGCUUUGCAACUUGCUUUACGAGCGUGGUUUUACCCACGCCGCCCAUCCCGUAGACCCCAAUUAUGUUGAGCUUAUCAUCCCUCAACGCCUCCAUAACAUCUUGAAAUACUUUCAUUCUUGAGUCAAAGGCCUCGAAAUCUUUCACUUGCAUGUGUUCUACCAGCUUUGGAGUAGGACGGUGGGAAACAUUGGAGAAGUUGCCUUUUCCCAUGAGACUAGCUGCAGCUUCUGCGGCCUUUGCUGCUUGUCUACUGAGCUUGUAACGAGAGAUCAAGUUUGGGCACAAUCCUUUGAAACAGAACUUCUUAGCUCUAUCUUCAUCAUCUGUGAUGGAUUUUGCAGCGCCCUGAGUGAAUUCCUUGACGCUAUUAAGCCAGUCUGCAACAUCCUCAUAAAUCUCAUCUCCUUGUUGAGUAGCCUGAUGAACGGGUAUUUCCACCCUUUCUCUUUGAUGUCCCAGCUGCUUCACUUGAACUUUUAGGCCAUCUAUGUAGCUCUGGUACUUGAACACAUAAGAUAUCUGCCGUUUAAGCGGUUUGUACAGUGACUUUGCACCUUCUGAUACAACGCCGGUUAAAAAAGCCAGACACGCUUCUACAGCCAUUGCCUGUUGCUUAACGAUAUAUAUGUAGUUUUUGGCUGUUUAAAAAAAAAAAAUGGAUUCAAAUAAAUUAAAUGAACUAGAGGGGAAGAAAAAGAAAGAAACGACAACAAACAACCUUUUAGAGAAAGGUUUGACGGGCCUGAAUGGAAAACCAACAACUUUUUGAAGAAAGAAAGCUUUGGAAGAUAGAUGCAAAUUAACCGUUGAUAAUACUACAUAAGAACACAGAAGUUAACAAUAAACAGUAACUUAAAACUCAAGAAAAUUAAAUGACGAGAUUAAGACAAACAAGGGAUAGUUUUUGUUGGACAUUAAGAAACAACUGCUAUCAAGAUCAAGGAUUAGAAAUUAUGCUAUUAAAAGAAGUUAUUAAAGGAUUUAGAACAAGUUUACCUCUUUAAUUAUCUAGGAUCAGAGUUUAUGAGCUUCACUAUUGGCCUUGGAUGUAUAAGAAAAACUUUAAUGAGCAAAAGAUCACUCUUAACUGCGGAGGAAUGUGAGUAAAGAGUUUAUGGGAGUAAAGCAAUACAAUUGAAUUGUAAAAGAACCAAGACUUAAGCGUGCGUCCCGUGUUUUGUUUUAUUAUAUAAACAGAACAUAUGUUCAUUUUUAACAAAUUGAUCAAUAACUCUAUUCGCUAUUUAAUUAAUAAUGUAAUCAAUUUUAAGAGAAUAUAAUAAUAAUCCUUCAAUGCAUAAAUUUAGAAUUAGAUUUUUUUUUACUUUUUAUUUAAAUGUAAAUCUCAGUGGAAAAUUAUAAAAAUUUAGAGAUAAAAUUUUUCAAUCACCAAACGGAAAAACAGGGGAAUGAAAACAGAGGAAUCUUGUUUUACUUUUUUUUUCUUUUUAAACCUUAACUCUUGUUCUUAUAUAAAUAAUCUUGUUCUGAUGAUAGUGCUCUUGACUGCAGGAAAAUUUCUAAUGGAAACAACUCAAUUUCGGAAGAUUAGCUCAGUUUUGCAAGCGAUGAAUUUAUUCAAUUGACUCUGUACUUGAACUCGUUGGAUUGGUUGAUUUAUGAUUGACUGAAUUUCAAUUCGGCCUAAAAGAUCUUUAACCAAAGUUUAAUAGCUAUCAUCUACUCCUUAAAAACAAAUAUGUAUCUUUUUUAGAUUUGACUGAAUUUGAACUUGCUGGAUUGGUUUUUUUUUAGAUUAUUAAAAUUUGGAAUAUUUUUUUUUCCUUGCUUUCUUUUGUUGGAGGAUUAGAGAUUUUGGUAUUACCAGAAAGGUUUCAAGGGUCUGAGUAGAAACCUAUAAUCUUUUGAAAAACUUUGUUUUUUUUUUUUUUUAAUUUUUUGGGGAAAAGGAUGCAAAUUAACCAAAUGGAAAUAAUAAGAGCACAGGCUUUAACAAUGAACAAUAACUUAAAACUCAUGCAAAAUAAAUUCAAUAUUAAAACAAACCAGAGAAAUUUUUUUCUUGAAAAGUAGAUGGAAAUUAUGAAAGAACAGAUGUCAAGAUCAAGGAUCAGGGAUUCUACUACCCAAAAAAAAUAAAAAAUAAAAUUAAAGGAUUUAGAAAAUGUGCACCUAGAGUUGGUGAGCUUCUCUCUCUAUUCACUUGAAUAUUUAAGAACAACUUGAAAGAGGAAAAAGAUCACUGGUAACUGCUGAGGAAUGUGUGAGAAAAGAGUUGACGAGAGAAAUAACAAUGACUUGCAGAAGAAAAACCAUUAAUCAAGCACACCUUUUUAUAUCCUGUAUUUGGUUAUUGUUGCCCUCUUGACGCAUGUAUAGAAUAAUUACGUGCAUUUUUUUUAAUCCGCAUGCACUUUAAUGAUUAGUGCUCCUUUCAUAAAGCAGAUACCGGAAACACACAAAUAUCAUUUGAGAGAGAAACUAAACAGCAAAUCAUCAAAGUAAGAUCAAUAAUAUAUGACUUGGUUAAUGCAUAUUCAAGAACAAAAACAAAAACAAAUAAAUAAAUAAAUGGAGAAGGUUUGAUUUUGUACUGCCAACGCUGCUUUUUUGUUAUUUCAUUUGUUCUUUCCACAAAUGAUGCUUGGUUAUAAUUAAGUUCCACAUGGCCGUUACUUACAAACUGUGUUUGUGUUAACAGAAACGUGAAAUUCACAUCACACAAAAUUACACUAUCAAUUCUUAAGAGAACAUAAUAAUAAUCACUCAACGCAUAAGGGUAAAUUUAGAAUUACAUUUUGAAAUUGAUAAAAUGUUUUUUAUGGGAUUUCAGGCAAACCAAAACAAAAAAAAUUUCAAUAAAGAGCUAGUUGUUGAAAUUGAUUUAUCUUGUCUUUCAGGCUAUCUUGUGACGUGACGAUAUAUAAUGUUCGUGAAUGCUAGAAAAUUUCUAAUGCAAACAACUCAAUUUGGGAUGAUAAGCUUAAUUUUGCAAAUGACGAAUGUAAAUAACUUGUUUUGAUUAAUUGAAUUUGUAAUACUCUUACCCUAUUCUAAAAUUUGGAGGUUGCUUGAGAAAAAAAGGGUAUUUCUCACUCAUCUUCAAUCCUCAAGUAAAAUUAGGUAAAAAGCAAAUCUAAAAAAUCACAAACGAAUUAACAAAAAAAGAAAAAAAAAAACAACAUUGAUCUUGAGACAAGUGAUAUUUAAACAGAGAAUUCUUUAUUCUUUUUUACUUGCCCCCCCCCCCCCGGGGCUCGAGGAUUAAAGUCUUUGCUAUUAACAGAGAGGCUUUAAGAGUCUGAAUAAAAACCCGUGCUUUUUUUAAAAAACCACUUUUUUUUUCUUUUUUCUUUUUUUUUGGGAAGAUAUAUUCAAAUUAACCAAAGCUAGUAAUAAGAGCACAGACCUUACAAAUGAACAAUAACUUACAACUCAAGCAACAUAAAUGAUAAGAUUAAAACAAACCGGAGAUAUUUUUCUUGGAAAAUAGACGGAAAUUAAAUAAGAACUGCUGUUAAAAGAAGUUAUUAGAGGAUUUAGGAGCAUGUGUACCUCUUUAAUUAUUUGGGAUCAGAGAGUUGAUGAGCUCUCUAUUCGCCUUGAAUAUUGAGUAAGAACUGGUAUUAAAAGAAAUUAUUAAGAACAAUAUUUUAGUGAGCAAAAGAUCACUGUUAACUGCAGAGGAGUAAAAUGCUGAAAAGAGCAGUAACAAUGAAUUGCAAAAGAAGAAGACUUAACCAAGCACCCCUUUUAUACCCGAUUUUUAAGAUUUAAUUUUGAAGUUCCCAAUCAAGAACAAAGACGAAGCUUUAAUAAAGCAUGCAGUGAGAUACAAGAAAUGGAUCGGGCAAAAUACCUUACGAAGCGUUUCAUAUUUUCUAAUGAAAUAAUUUAGUUGAAUUCUUCGACGAAUAGAUACCUGUUGUGCUAGAAUAAUUUUGGCACACACAUUACUUGUGCCCUGUGAAAUUGAAAAGCACACUCAUUUACAGAGCUUGUUAGUGGGGAAAAGCUUCGUAAGAUGCCUGAUAAAAGAUAAAGCAAAAGCUUGAAUGAAGAAUGGCAUUUUAGAAAGAAACUAAAGUGCAAUCAUCAAAGUAGGAUCAAUAGUGAGUUGAUCAGUUAUGCUUUUUGUUAUUUCAAUUGUUCUCUCUUUUUUCAAUCUCUCUUUAUGUUAUAAUUGAAUAAUUGUAUAGAAAGUGUGACGGUUGCUGCAGCAUUAUGAAGUCAAAAUUGAGAACGACAUUAAAUAAUCAAUCUCUUUAUGUAUUUACUCGAAUGUCUGAUAGUGUUCAGACUUGGAUUUUCAAUAAACACAGAUUCGAAAUCCAAAUAAUUGAAUAAUUGUGUACGUUCAAAUUCAGCAUUUAAUUACUAUAUAAUUAGACAUAAAUGUGUAUAUAAUUUUACUUUCUAAGAAUUAACUUCUACCUUGAUUCUAAAAAAAUAUAUAUAUAUAAUUUUACAAAUAAUUUAGUACGGCGUUUGGUAAAUGAUAACUAUUUGAGAAUAAGUUUUAAAAUGGUUUACUAUACAAAUCUGGAAAAUGAAAAUUAAAAGUGUAAAAUGUUCACAUAAUGAAAAUUAAAAGUGUAACAUGUUCACAUACAAUGACAAAAAUAUAUUUAUUUACUUAUUUGUAAUUUAUUUUGAAUAUUAUUGUUUAAAUCAUUUUUUUACUUACUAGAUUUUUUAAGAGCAUUCUAUUUUCUUUAUUACAUAUUUAAAUAAUUUUUUAUUAACUAUUUUAAUUUGCAAUAAAAUUAACUUCAAUAUUUUUUUAACUGAAAAUUUUGUUAUGUAGUUCGUGAUAUAACAAAUACUAACAUAUUAUUAAAUUGAUUAAUAAAUUACGUGCAAAAAAGAAAAUGCAAAAAUUUAAUCUUUAUAUAAACUUUUAUGUACAAAAACCGUUGUAAUCAAACUAGUUCAUAGAAAUAUAAUAUUUUAUACAUGUGUUUAAGAAAAACAUAUAACUAUAAUAUUAUCCACUCAUUAAACUUGCAGCACUAUUAUUUCUAAUUCUCUCCAUCACUCGACCUACAGGAACAUUACUACCAUAAUUUUCUUCUUGAAUUCAACCUCCAUUUCCACAUCAUCAACAAAGCGAUCAAUUUGCCUUGAUAGCCUUUCAACUCCUCCCACUUUCCUCCCUUUUGCAGACACUCUUUUUCUUUUUCUUUCUUUAAUAGCUUCAAUGGGAACAACCUCAUCUAUCGACAAGUCCAUUCUUCAACUAGAAUAGAGUUGGUAGUAGAUAUUUUAGUACUCUCAAACGAUGCCCAAACCGUGUCACCAGUGAUUGUUGUAUUAAAAAACAUUCCAUGUAAUUUUUCCUCUGACUCUGGGUCGAUACCUUUUAUGCAAAAUCUAUUUACUUCAGGAAUUUUAUACAUAUGUCGAUAUCAUAUUAAAGUGAAUUCAGAUCCUAUAUUAUUGACAUUUAGCCAAAGGUAAAAAAUUUUCCUUUUUGUUUGUCCCCCAACUAUAUAGUCCCAUUUUUGGUUAUAAGCUCGCAAUAUGCAAGGGAAAUGAAGAUCUACUAAAAACUUCCCCAUAAUAUUAAACAUUAAACAAUAUCAACAUUUUGUGCAUAUGGUGCCUCUCCAACAACUUGAUGUACAUUAUGUUGCUCGGUGGAAUAUGACUACUUAUUAAUUAAUUAGCAAGACUUGCGUUGCGAGUCCAUGCUUUUGUUGUUUGGAUGGAGGAUCUGCCAUCCUUAUUGUGAAAUAUGAACUAAAUAUACACUCACGACAUGUCAUAUGUUGAGUCUGUAGUAGCACGACAUGUCAUCUGAUAAGCAUUUGGAACAAAACCGACAUGAGCCAAAAUGUCGUUCUUUGUUUAAGUAGCUCACGUGUUUGGCAUGUGAGCUGAACAAGACUCUUACUCUCAGAAACGACUGAACCAGAAGCCGUUUUGAGCAUGCUUAUUCAAGACACGUUGCAAGCACGUGGCUGAGGCUGAAUCUGUUAUGUUAGCGGGAAAAGCCGCUGAGGAAGGCAUCCAGAAUCAGUUAAUAAAGAACUGGAGUUCUGGGUUUUUCACAACAGGGCCAGAAAACAGAGAGAGAGCAGAGAAAGAGGGAAUGCGAGAGAGAGAGAGUUCUGAAUAGGCUUGUAAUCUCCAUUUGUGUUUGCUCUCUGUAAACUCUUGAACAAGCAAUAAAGUGAAAUCACAGAGUUUGUUUCCAGUGGAUGUAGGCAUCAUUCAUUUGGUGCUGAACCACUUUAAUUCGUGUGUGUUUUGUUCUUGAUCUAUUUGUUAUUCUUGAUUCUUAGUAGGUUGACUUCUUCUUGGUUGAAUCUUGAGUAUAAACCAGUGAGUGAAGUGUUCUUGGGGUGGGUUUAGUCUUGAUAGUUAGGGCUUAAACCAAAACACUUUUAUUUUAGAUGCUUUGUAAGACUUCUGAUUUAAUGAUUGAAUGCAGCCAAUUAACGAAAGCUUACAUAUAGUAUUAUGUAGGUGCUGAGAUGUCUGUUCUUGAUAAAGUAGAUAUAUUUACACCCAAGCCAACGGAAUCAAAGCCUUUUCGUUAAUAAUAUACACGGUAAUUGUUUUUGUUAAAUUGAUUUCUGGCUAACAAGAUCUUUUUUUUUUUUUGAAAGGGCUAAAAAGAUCUUUGAAAGCAUUCAAAGAAGCCGCCGAACUCAUAGGAAAGCCAUGAUUAAAUAUACGGUGAAGCAAGCGAGCUCGUUUGUUAAUCUCUUGAUCACUCAUAAGCUUUUCUAUACGGCUCACGAUAUCAUCCUUUUGAAUCGAUUUUGAUUGAUCAUCGGAUAUCAUGUCCCCACCUUGAGAUGAUUGAUCACCAAUUUGGCAUUGUAAUGUUGAUCACCUCUAAUUGGCCAUGCUAAAAUUGGGAGCCCACAACUAAUUGCUUCCAUAGUUGAAUUCCAUCUACAAUCAAAUAAAAAUCCACCCAUUGAUUGAUGACUUAGUAUCAAUAAUUGUGGCGCCCACCCAUCUAUUAUCAAUCCCCUUUUAACCAAUAAAGUGUUGGCUCCACUGGCAAUGGAGUCCCCUUAAGUGGUUUGACUGGGUUUGCUCCCCAGUUCGAGUCGCAGGGAAGUCGCCUUUGUUGGGAGAACCUGUGCCUCUCGGUUCGAGCGGGGACUUCUAGUCUGGGUUGUGGUACGGGCUUAAAGGUGCCUCCCACAGUUGGGGCCCUCCCCAGGAUACCUCGUGGUCAAAACCAAAAAAAAAAUCAAUCCCCUUUUACCGACUUUACUCUCCAAACCACUGGAAAAAUAACUGCCUUCUACUGGUCUGUCUAAACCGGUUAAAUGACGCGGAGGAUCCAAUCUACCUGCACUAGUUUGAAUUACCCAAAUAAACUGUUGAUUUGAUGCUUCUAAACAUUGGCAAGGCUGAAUACUCCUCUAAGGUGGGACGCACUUUGGUACCAAAUUAUAUGUAUAGCACAGAUCUACGUGAUUUCAAAUCCAACCAUUAAGCGAUCUCAUCUUCAGUCAUGUUAGAACUCUGCUGGUUGGUCUCGUCUCACGAUCAUGAAACGCUGAACCGACCAAUUUGUAAAAUUGUUUAGGUAACAAUGAGCCCACUCCCCACACCGGCUUUCCCAUUUGAUUGGCUAAAUAAUUAAUAAAUGGUCCCUCAAGAUCAUUACAUGUGUUAGAACAUCAACGCCAUCGAUCCCUUCACUUCCUUCAUGCAGUGUGGUUGAUCAUCGGGUUCUAGUGGACCUAUUUUCCCUGAACCGGGUGCACUCUGCAGAAGUGGUGGACCACUAGGAGGGGGCCCACAAGGCCUACGUCUAAGAUUCGAUUCAAAUAAAGCCGUAUCCUCAGGUACCCCAGGAAGUAAAUAGGCCUCCCCUGAUUUGACAUCUUUGAUGCGAGCCUACCACAUGGCACACUCUACAAUUGUUCAACUAAAAUUAAUAAUAUUGUUCUAAUUAAUUACUCGAUAAGCAAAUAGUCAUAGACAAAUCUAUCCCUAAUCCCACAUUUACAAAAUAAAGAAUUGAAAUGAGUUUAUGUGGCUUUGAACCCAAGCCCUCAAGCCUAGUGGCUGGAUCUUGACCACUUUGACAUAAUUAUUAUAACAAUUUUUUUUUUCAUAUUUCACUAAGCAUCUUUUGUUAUAUAAUGAGGAAGAUAAGUUGACGGAGAAGGGUUCUACUUUUACUAGUAGAUGAGAUUUAAAUUAAGAAGGUUAGUUUUAGAUUGUUAAAUUUCCUUAGACGAUUAUUCAUGUGAGAUGUUUAACAUAUACUUGAGUUAGUCGGUGCCUAACAAUUCUUGUGAUACAUGAAACCAACCAAUAUGAAAACCAUAUGAAGUUGGUAGGAUUAGAUUAAUUUAAAUGAAAAUAAAAAUUAGUUUAUGCUAUUUAUUAAUCUUAUACUGUUGAAAAUUGAAAGUUAAUUCUUUAGCCUGUCAAUUGGUUCAUGACAUAAUUAAAAUAUUCAAGUAAAUACAUUUAUCGUUUAACAUUAAUUUUUCAUGCGGUAAAACCAAUACUAAUUAUAGAGUGGAGAGAAUAAUCUGUAGGGUAUACCCCCACCUUUUAUUUCAUUUCAUUUAAAAAAAAAAGAGAGAGAGAGAAAAGUAAAGGCUUGUUCAACAUUCAAGUAAAAUUAACAAAUCUAUGAUAAAAUUACUUCAGAAUAAAAAUUAAAAUGUUUAAAAAAAAAACGGCAACUCGAAAACGACAUACAAAUACCGCAUAGAAGGUUUUCGUCACGAGAUAUUUUUGGGCUGAGACAACACUUGUAUAACUUAGCAUAUAGCUUGGAUGACGGUGAGAAUAAGAAGGAAAACGGCACCGCAGACCGAAAUGCCAGCCCAUGGAGUAUUGAAGUAAUUUUUUUUCACAAUUCAAAGGAGGUUUUGGAACUUACCACAAGGCUGAGUAUUUCAACAGUUAUGGAUGACAUAAUCCAGCUAAGCAGAAGCUGAUCUUGGCGUUUCCACACAGCAUAUUCUGGAUUUUCAUGACCUUCAGAGAUUGACGAAGUGCCUUCAAAUCCAGGUGAAAGAAAUUGAUCAGGACAUAGCUUUGAUCCAUCGAUAUAAGACUCAAGUCCAUUGCCUCGAACUGAAGAGAGCACCUGAUGUUUCCAGAUCGUGUAAUUUGUACGAUCUAAUUUGACUGGUGUAGUGAAGGUGAAAGAAGCUAUGGCACUGGUAUUAGAUUGUGAAUUUGAGUUCGUUAGAGCCAUUGGAUCUAGCUCUGAUACCAAGUUAAAGAAGCUUUUCCUGUUUGUUUACUCAGAAAGUGAAGGAAAAAUACAGAGAAAAUUAUGUAGCUAGAAUGAAUCUAAAACCAUCUUAUUAAUCUAUAUUUGGUUCAAUAUACAACAAUAUUUAUGCUACUCACUGGAACCUUCUAUAUGAAACAAACACGUGAACUCAAUACAAUUCAGCUUAACAAACUUUUAACGGGAAAUAACUAAACAGAGCAACGGCUUGCCAGCGUGGCUGCUGACUCAGCAGCCGACUAAUCAUACUCUGAAAAAAAAUCACCAAACAGAAAAACAGGGGAAUGAAAAGAUAGCCUCCGUUUAUCCUCUGUUCUGUUUUCAUUGUUAUUAAACAAGGGAAUGAGAAAAGAGAGCCCCUGUUUCUUCUCUUUUUUGAUUUUUUUAAUUACUAAACUGGGGAACGCACGGAUCACCUCUUGUUGCAAGCGCAAAUUCUUGUUUCUACUUUAGUACCUUCUAAAUGCUGCAUGCAUUAAAAUUAUUCUUACAUAUGCUAACAUAAUAGCUACUGUACAUGUAAGUUCUUGAUAAAUCCAAAUAACAUAAUAAUUUUAAGAGUUCAAAUUUAGAAUUUAAUUAUAUAUAUUUAUAUAAAUCCAAUGUGCAUAUCGGAUAUUGCAUGCUGCAAUGAUCUCAUAUGUUUCCUCAAUAUGACUUAAAUAUAUAGGCCACAACUUGGUUUUGAAGUUAGUCUAAAGCCUUCCCCUUGAUUCUAACAAAUUCACUAGGGAAGGUUCAUAUGGAUUUUGGGGGAGCUCUAUGGCCAAUUUUAAAAGUUCAGGGGGGAUCAAAUGAAUUUCAAAACUGCAUGGGUUAUCUAUUUCAGUCAGAGGAUAGUGGAAUUCCCUGAAAUUUAUCCUUUUUAUUAAAUUAAUCUUCCUCCUUUCCUCUGUGGACCUUUGCUAUGUGUGUUAUUGGCGUCCAAAUGACGAUGGGAAUUAUGGUAAGGUUCUUGCUUCCCCACUUCUUGAAAUUAAAUAUAUCUUUUCUGGCACUAGAAAUUUCCACAUGCUGUGUUUUGUUAUUGUUUGGGAGAAAUACGUCAACGAGACCAGGCGUGGUGAGCAGAUAUCUGAUAGCAGAGUUCCGCGAACCGGUGUGUUCCGUAAAAGCCUGGUGCGCGGAGGAACAGGAGCAGAAGUAUCCCGCUCGUCCACGAACACGUCAUCCGCGAGGCCAAUUUCCCGUAAGAGGCAUAAGGUCAUUCCGGCUAGAGGUCGAGAGGCGAGGAGACCCGGUCGACGGCAGUUGGCAAGACAUGCUCCCCAGCCCGAGAAUCUAGGCACGACAGCCACGCUUUCCCCAGAACUGUGGCGUAACACGCAAAAUCUCACGGAACCACGACAACCACGCUUUCCCCAGAACCGUGGCGUAACACGCAAGAUCUCACAGAACCACGACAGCCACGCUUUCCCCAGAACCGUGGCGUAACACGCGAGAUCCCACGUUUGCCCAUAACGCAGCAGUCAGAGUCCCAUACCGUCUCGAAAAAAGCGGAAAACUGGGAUUCAGGGGAGGCCUAUAAAAAGGUAGCCAACGAAGGUAAAAGGGUUAGCAUUUUUAAGAUUAGAAAAGAAAUAAAAAAAGCCAUAAGACCUGUGGCAAGCGUUCCCCGAACCUUGAUAUCUGAAUUGAGCGUCGGAGGGUUUGCGCCGGGAAAACAACCGGCGUACUCUGACUUGUCUGUGUGCGCAGGAACCUCUGGAGAAGAAGCCUCACGAGGAGACCUCCUGGUCGUGAAGAAGUUGAUCGGGCAGAGAUCCUGGUCGUAGAACGAGGAGACCCGGAAUCCCGCAUCAACAUUUUGGCGCCGUCUGUGGGGAACAGAGCAAAAAGCUUCUGUUGAUAGCAAGAGGAGGGGCGAAGCAAGUGAAAAGCAAUGGAGACAUGAGGAAGUAGUGGACAAGGGGGUGAUAGGAGGCCUAACGAUUCCGUGACGCUGAGGGAGAUAGUCAGUGAAGCACGGGAAAAAGUCAUGUUCGACCGGAUGGAACGGGUGGAAAAGCAGAUGGAGACCUUGACAACCAUCCUAGAUGAGCUGCGGAGCGAGCGAAGUAUAAUCCAAGAGGGAAGGGGGAGAGGCGGUGGAGUGGCACCAGGUCCCGAUAGUGCGGGGAGAAGUCAAACCACCGGGAGAUUUGGUGGUGAGAGAGGUAACGUACCUCUGCGGGGAGAAUUUCAUAGAGAAAGAGAGCGGUCCCCGGCAAGGCAGACUGGCGACGAGGACGAUGGAGUGGUGAAUGCAGAGGAAACGAAGUUGAGACAACACUUGCAUGAUGUAGAGCAAGAGCGGGAUCAAGUUGCAGCACGUGACCCUGGUCGUGCAGUGCAGCUGGAGGAGGAAGUGCGCAGACUAGCGCAGAUAAUCGACGACAUGCAAGGAAGGAACAGAGCCCCUGGUUGGAGGAUAAUGCUAGACGGAGAAUCACCGCUCGCAGCAGAGAUCAUGAGGGCAGUUAUUCCGAGAGAUUUCCGCCUCCCAGACCUCAGAUACUCGGGAAGAACUGAUCCGUUGGUGCACAUAGAGCGCUUCAACGACAUAACUGGGGUACAAGGAUUAUCUCAAUCCCAAAGGUGCAGAGUGUUCCCACUAUCCCUUGAGGGACGUGCACGAGAAUGGUACAGGAAACUUCCUCGGGGCAACAUUAAAACCUUCGAGCAGAUGUGCCAGGAAUUCGCGGAGCAGUUCAGUGGGGCAAUGGCGCCGGAAGAUGACAUGAUGGAGCUGAAAAGCAUGAAACAGGGGGAGCAAGAAACCCUUCGGGAAUUCAUCAAGAGGUUUCAUCGGGCUGUCCUCGACUUGGGAGCCUUCAACCACCCUCAGGCGUUAAGGGGAUUGAAAGAAGGGGUGAAGAUAGGAAGGCUGUGGUACAAUUUGAGAAGCCCAGCUAUUCAAACGUAUGCAGCCGCAUACGAACAGGCUAAGAGAGACAUCGAGAUUGAAGAGGAGAAGGCUGCACGGAUUAAGACAGACCAGUUACAAGGGUUGGGGAGGAAAGAGAAGAAAGCAUUACCGGGGAAUGGGCCGAUCAGGAGGAGGGACCACCAGGCCUCCGGUAGCGGAGCAGGAGGUCGGGUAGCCGCUUACCAUUCUCAUCAAAGGCCACCACAGUAUCAGCGCAGCAGGGCGCAACCUCCUCGUUCCCCAGUUAGGGAGCCUUGGAGAAGACAUGAGUCGGCAUCUGGUGGUCUCCAUCAACACCCCCACGGUAGCAGAGCGAGCAGACCAGAAGUACUUCCACCGCCCCCAACUCAGAGCGGGGCAAACGGAGAAAGAGUAGUGCACCUGAUCGACCAGAACCCGGACUAUGGGCGGUACACUUCCUUGAAGAUGUCCCUGGAUGAGGUGUACGAGGCCAUAAAGGAUCGAGGGCUGUUGCACCUCCCUACACCAAUAACAAAGCUACCCAACAGGAGGGAUAGAGGGCGUUAUUGUAAGUUCCAUGGCACCCAUGGCCAUACCACAGCAGAGUGUAGAGAUCUCAAGACCCAGGUCGAAGAUUUGGUGAGAAAUCGGUACCUGGACGAGUUUAUGGAUGGGACUUUCCCGAUGGGGGCCGCAACAGGUGAAGGGGAGCAGAGUGGCGGAAACGUGAGGCACGAGCAGCCUGCAGUAAGGGUGAUCGCCGGGGGCCCGACAUUGGCCGGAGAUUCCAACAGAUCGAGAAAAAAUUAUGCUAGGUACGCCAUGACCAGUAAAGAGGUACUCCUCAACACCCCAGCAGCCAAACGAGCAAGGGUCAGGCAAGUGCCAAUCAUGUGGACGGAUGAGGAUGAGGAAGGGAUUCUAUACCCCCACGAGGACGCUUUAGUCAUCAAGGCUACUAUCGCUAGCAAGAAGUUUGACCGGAUACUGAUUGAUACAGGGAGCUCAGUUGAUGUGUUAUUUAAGUCAACCCUGGAAGAGAUGGGAAUAGCCGACCGGAAGUUGGAAUACACCAAUACCUCCUUGAAGGGGUUCGGAGGAGGGAAGCUGGUCCCUCUGGGCGUGGUCGAGCUGCCUAUCACAAUUGGGAGCUCCCCGACAGAAAGAACAAUGAUACUGGACUUUGUCGUAGUGGAUGAGGAAGGUCCUUACCAGAUGAUCUUAGGUCGGCCAUUUUUAAGGAUGAGCAAAGCGGUGUUGUCCAACCAUUAUCUGGCCCUGAAGUACCGGGUGAAUGGGGUAGUAGGAGUGGUACGAGGAGACCAGAGGAUCGCAAGAAGCUGCUACUCCUCGGCAGCAAGGGAAGCAAUGCAGAUAACAUCCCUCGAUACCCGAGUGGAAAGCAGGAAGGGCAGACAAGAACCUGUAGAGGAUCUGGAAACAGUAAGCCUGGGACCAAAGAACCCGGAAAAGACGAUCAGAAUCGGGUCGAGACUUAGGGGAGGGCAAAAGCAGGAGUUGGUGAAAUGCUUACAGGCUCAUGCUGAUGUGUUUGCUUGGACACAUGAAGACAUGCCAGGGAUUGACCCUGAGGUAGCAUGUCAUAAGCUGGCAAUAAAGAAAGGUGCUCGGGCAGUAAGGCAGAAGAGGAGGUGCUUCAACCAGGAGAGGUAUGAGGCUAUAAAUGGCGAGGUGGAGAAGCUCCUGAGAGCAGGGUUCAUUCGGGAAGUCAGUUACCCUGAGUGAAUAUCGAAUGUGGUGUUGGUAAAGAAGGCAAACGGCGAGUGGAGGAUGUGUGUGGAUUUCACAGACCUCAAUAAGGCGUGCCCAAAAGACAGCUUCCCUUUACCAAAGAUCGAUCAGCUGGUAGAUUCAACGGCUGGACAUGAUCUGCUCAGCUUCAUGGACGCGUUCUCGGGAUACAACCAGAUCCCCAUGUACGGGCAGGAUGAGGAGAGCACGGCUUUCAUCACUAACCAAGGUUUGUUCUGUUACAGGGUAAUGCCAUUCGGUCUCAAAAAUGCGGGGGCCACCUAUCAAAGGCUGGUGAACAAAGUCUUUAAGCCGUUGAUUGGGAAAACCAUGGAGGUGUACGUGGAUGACAUGAUCACCAAGUCCAAAAUCCCGGAGGAACAUGUCAGACACCUCGAGGAGACAUUCGAGCUUUUGAGGAAGUAUAAGAUGAAGCUCAACCCGGAGAAGUGUGCUUUUGGGGUCGAGUCAGGGAAAUUCCUUGGAUUCAUGGUGAGCCAUAGGGGGAUUGAAGCAAAUCCCGAGAAAAUCCAGGCGAUUGUGCAAAUGACGUCUCCUCAUAACCUGAAGGAGAUGCAGAGCCUCACGGGGAGGUUGGCGGCGUUGAGCAGAUUCAUAUCCAAGGCUACAGAUAAGUGUCAGCCAUUCUUUCAAGUAAUAAGGAGGGGAAAGAAAACAGAAUGGACCCCAGAAUGCGAGGAAGCCUUGCGGAACUUGAAGCAAUACUUGCAGCAAGCUCCGCUGCUGUCCACACCGAGGGAUGGGGACAUGUUGUAUCUGUAUUUGGCGGUAUCGGAUCGGGCCGUCAGUUCUAUUCUGGUGAGAGAGGAAGAAGGAGUUCAGUAUCCGAUAUACUACACCAGCAAAGCCCUGCUCGACGCUGAGACCAGAUACCCACCGUUGGAAAAAUGGGCACUUGCCCUUGUGGUUGCUGCUCGGAAGUUGAGGCCAUAUUUUCAAGCAUUCCCGGUUUCGGUAGUAACAAACCAGCCAUUGCGUCAAACUCUGCACAAGCCAGAUGCCUCUGGUCGGCUCGUCAAGUGGGCUGUAGAGCUGAGCGAGUUCGACAUAGACUAUAAACCCCGCGCAGCGAUAAAAGCCCAGGCAAUGGCUGAUUUCGUAGCCGAAUUCACAGAGCCCGAAGUAUGCUUAGAUCAACAAGAUGCAGAUAUAGGCAAUGACGAAACUCAAGUAUGGCAGAUGUCUGUGGAUAGGUCAUCAGGGGAGCGGGGUUCAGGAGCAGGGAUUGUCUUGGAAGGCCCAGAGGGGGAGGAGAUCUCUUAUGCUGUAAAGUUGGAGUUUGCAGCCACGAAUAACCAGGCAGAGUAUGAAGCCUUGAUAGCAGGUCUGGAAUUAGCUAAGGCCGUGAAAGCAAACAGAGUUAAGAUCAGAACUGAUUCCUAGCUGGUUGCAAAUCAUGUCAGUGAAAGAUUCCAACCAAGAGAGGAGAAGAUGGAGCAGUACCUGAAGAUAGUCAGGCAGAUGAUGGGGAAGUUUGAAGCAGUGGAGGUAAUACAAAUCCCCAGGGAGCAGAAUAGUCGAGCAGACAUUUUGGCUAGGAUGGCAGCAGUAGCCGACCCAAAAAUGCCAAAGUCGGUUCCUCUGGAGGUGAAGUCCAGCCCAAGUAUUGGUCAGAAUUUGGGGGUGUUGCGGAUAGAACAAAAAUGCUCGUGGAGGGAUCCGAUAGUUUCAUACCUUAGGGACGGGGUAUUACCACCAGAUAAGGUGCGAGCUCGCAAGCUUAGAGCCCAGGCCUCGAGAUACACGAUGAUUGAUGGGGUACUGUAUCGGCGAGGAUAUACACUAUCGAUUACUUCACGAAGUGGAUAGAGGUAGAAGCCCUUAGCAGGAUCACAGAGUCGAGCAGACAUUUUGGCUAGGAUGGCAGCAGUAGCCGACCCAAAAAUGCCAAAGUCGGUUCCUCUGGAGGUGAAGUCCAGCCCAAGUAUUGGUCAGAAUUUGGGGGUGUUGCGGAUAGAACAAAAAUGCUCGUGGAGGGAUCCGAUAGUUUCAUACCUUAGGGACGGGGUAUUACCACCAGAUAAGGUGCGAGCUCGCAAGCUUAGAGCCCAGGCCUCGAGAUACACGAUGAUUGAUGGGGUACUGUAUCGGCGAGGAUAUACACUAUCGAUUACUUCACGAAGUGGAUAGAGGUAGAAGCCCUUAGCAGGAUCACAGAGAAGAAAACAACGGACUUCGUGUGGAGAAACCUGGUCUGUCGAUACGGGAUCCCUUAUGCCUUGGUAACGGAUAAUGGCAGGCAGUUCGAUAAUCACAGCUUCAGGGAUUUCUGCCAGAACCUCGGGAUAGAGCUGAAGUAUUGCUCGCCUGCUCACCCUCAAUCGAACGGACAAGUAGAAGCAGCCAACAAGACCAUCAAGAGGCUUUUGAAAACCAGGCUUGGAGCAAAAAAGGGUGCGUGGGUUGACGAGCUGUCAGGUGUGCUAUGGGCAUACAGAACAACCCACAAAACAGCAACUGGGGAGACACCGUUCGCUUUGGCUUUCGGACAUGAAGCGGUCGUGCCGGCCGAGAUAGGAACGACCACACACCGGACAAAUCAUUUCAAUGAGCAGGAGAACGACGAGCAGAUAUGUUUGAAUCUUGAUCUGCUAACGGAAAGGAGGGAGCAAGCAGCCGAGCGAUCGGUCAUUUACCAACAGAGGGUUGCUCGGUAUUAUAACCAGAAGGUGAACAUACGGCAAUUCAGGGUCGGAGACUGGGUACUGAGAAGAGUGAAUCAGAGCACCAAAGACUCGACUCAAGGAGUGCUGGGACCGAAUUGGGAAGGGCCAUAUAGAGUCAAGCAGAUAGCGGGACCUGGAGCUUACAAGCUGGUACGCACGGACGGCCACGAGGUGAAACGCCCAUGGAACGCAGCACACCUCCGAAAAUACUUCCAGUAAGACUUGUUCACAUGUGAAAACUAUUUUUGCUCAUGUUCAUUACCGUUUAUCUUUCACACUUAUUGUCCAAACAAUCUCAUGUAAGUCGAAUCUUGCCAUUAAUGGAACGUCGAAGAAUUUCUUUCGCUUGAAACCGAGAAAGUUGCCUAAGGCAUGCAAAGGCUCGACAAAGUCUCAAAGCCUGUCUUAUGGCGAGACAGAAGCCAAGCAUGCCAGGAUCUGCUCGGCCACGAGAAGGCGAACAGAAUCCCAAUCCUUGAAGAAAUGCCUAAGGCAUGCAAAGGCUCGACAAAGUCUCAAAGCCUGUCUUAUGGCGAGACAGAAGCCAAGCAUGCCAGGAUCUGCUCGGCCACGAGAAGGCGAGCAGAAUCCCAAUCCUUGAAGAAAUGCCUAAGGCAUGCAAAGGCUCGACAAAGUCUCAAAGCCUGUCUUAUGGCGAGACAGAAGCCAAGCAUGCCAGGAUCUGCUCGGCCACGAGAAGGCGAGCAGAAUCCCAAUCCUUGAAGAAUCCAAGGCAUGCAAAGGCUCGACAAAGUCUCAAAGCCUGUCUUAUGGCGAGACAGAAGCCGAGCGUGCCAGGAUCUGCUCGACCGUGCGAAGGCGAGCCGAAUCCCAGGCAUUGAAGAAUCUCCAAAGGCAUGUGGCGAAACCAUGAGCCAAGCCGGAACCUGCUCGUCUAGACAGACACAAGCAGAUUCUCAACCGAAAAUUAAUUCAUAAUUACAACACAAGAAAGUAAUCAAAAACCAUUUUUAUUAAUUUGUUAAUAAUUAACAGAGGGGACAAUCUCAAUGAACAUUGUUCAUUACAAUACAAGAAAUAUAUCAAGAAGAUGAUGGACCAGUAAGCCCGGCAGCAUCGGUUGGCUGGACCUCCUCAGGUGCUGGAGGGGUAUCACCAGUUGCGUCCGGGGGGGUACUUGCCUCGCCGACAUCAGCAGGGACUGCAUGAGCAGGAGAGUCUUCCUCCUCAAUCACGAUCGGCUCUACCCCAUCAGUAUCUUCCUUAGCCGCCUCCUCGUCCAUGUGUUGAGCAACACCAGCUGCAAGGUCAUCCAUCUUCAGAUCAGGGUGUUGCUUCCCGAGGACGGCCAUGAUGCAACGAUAGGAAUGCCGAAGGCCCUGGUCGUACUGGUUGUCAGCCUCCCUCUCCAAGUUCUCGACCUGAGCUCGGUGGGAGUCGCGGAGAGAUUCGAGCUGAGCCUCAUACGUAGCCUUCUGCCUUUGCAGAUCCUCCUUGACCUUGGUAAGCUCCUCCUCGAGGGAAAUGGCUUUUGCUUGAGCAAGUGAUUCUUGCUCUAUCAGCUUCAGAUUCUCGAGAUUCAGCUCCCCUGCUUUCUUCUCGGCAACGUCAGCCCUGGUCGUCGCCAAUUGAAUAUCCUCCUUCAUCUUCCGGUCGUAGCGGCCAACCUUAGCCUUGUAAUAGGUGGUCAGGCAGCUGAGGUGGAAAGCGUUAUGCUGCAUGGCCCCCACCAGCUCACCCAAGGUGCGGCCGUCAAAGUCCUCCAGGUCCUUCUUGCUCACGAGUUUAGUUAACUCAUUGAGGUAAGGGACCAGAUGUUCUGCUCGGCUGUCAGGUAAGCGAGACCAAGGCCCGACAGGAGGAGAAGAAGAAGCAGGAUCUGUGGCUGCUCCACUAGCUUCCCCGACUUUCACAGAAGCAGGAGGUAAAGUCUUCAAGGGUGGGACCUGCUGCACGAUGUUGGCCCGCUUUGCAGCAGGGGCAUCCUUACUCUGGUCCCUCUUCGUGGUUGGAGGUCGGGAACGUUUUCGGGUCAAAGCCCCAAUCACAGCGUCCUCCAUCCUAUAGCCAGGAAGUAUCAAGCGAGACUCGAGCAAGUUGUAUGUAGUUAACAGUUCUCGGCUCGAGCAGGAAUUGGCUGGUCAGGUUCAAGCGGGAAGUGGACACCCCAAGAAACUACAACACAAACAGACACUUGGUUAGAGACAAGCCAAUAAAGCAAGAACAAUUAUGAACGCAAGACAUCUAGAGCGAGCAGGCAACCUGGGACCGUGAAACGGGGUGGGACGCGACAAUCCUUCCCGUCUAUUUGUGCAAUUUGACCCCAAGGACCCCCAGCAAAAAAGAAUUUCCUCUUCCAAGCCCCACCACCACCGGUUGGAAGAUCGGUUAUGGGUUUCCGGCUCUUGGUGCUAGAUUGGAAGUAGUACCAGCCGGCAUCUUUGGGGCUGCUCUUUAGCUGGUACAAGUGCUUCACCUCAUCAACCGUGGACUCGCUUCCGAAAAAGGACUUUUCUCAUUAAUUUUUGAUCUUCAAGUUAAGUUUGUUUCAUUUCAAAAGGUAUUAAGUUUCAAACUUGUCGUGUUGGGAGGUUGGAUAGUUGUAACGUAAGACAUCUGCAGGCUUCCGGUUCAAAACAUUACAGUAUGGCAUUUUAUUUUGUCACAAGGGAAUUAGUUAUGGGAUCCCUUCUGCAACGAUUUGUUGAUGGCGAUGAUGAACUCCGCAAUAGUAGGCUGAAGCUUAUUCCAUCCGUUCCUAAGAUAUCCAUCUUGGUCUGCAUCUAUUAGGACUUUGUUAACAUGUCGUAACCUUCACUGCAUGGUACACUUCAAUUUGUUCAAAGAAGGCAUACAUUUAGGUAUAAAUGUAUUGAUGGGUUGUACCUUCUAACUUAAUGACCUUUUUUCACUCUGUUGAAUUUGUUUUGCACCUGCUCUUGAUUUUAAGCGCUAAAUCAUGCAGGGGUCAUGGAUCGUGCACCAGAGUGUUGGAAGCACCCCUUGUUUAUUAGGAAAAGCAGUUGAUCGUAAUUUUAUCCGCGGUCCCAAGUUCGUAGAAGUAAACGCUCUUGGAAUUUCUAUAAUACAUGAGAUGUUCCCCUUUCAAAUAGCUCGUCCGAUACCAUUAACAUGGUUUAACAUUGUUCCUCUGUCUUUAGAUUGAUGUUGACAUCGGUUCUUCUAAUAUUGCUCUUCUUUAUCUUACACGUGUCUCUUCUUUAUCUUACUCUUUAGUAUGCAGUCAAACACUACAGAUGAAUUACCAGAACGGCUGAUUGGAACCAGAAACAUCAUGACUGUGGUUUCAUUGCACCUCAACUUUUUUUAAUACCCGAAAAAAAAAAAUCAUUUGUUUUAGGUAUACGCACAUGUAUUUUGAUCCCAUUUUCAUUGUUUUCUUUGGAUGAAAGUCAUUGAUGUUUCCAAAUGAGACUUUUGCAUAAGUAUAGCUAGUAGGAAAUUUUCUGAUUCUUUAUUUACUAUUUUUGGAAUCUGAGUGUAAUAGUUUUAAAAUUGUUUAAUCGGUCUCUAAAUGUCGUACUCACAAGCAAACAAGUGAACUGAUUGAUUCCCAACCGUCACUCAACCGGUUUCCAACUUUUUAAUAUACACAAUAACUGUGUUUGUUGAAUAGCUAAUACUAUUAAAGCUCAACAUUAACAUAGAUACUAAUGGAAAAAUUGAUUUUCCUAUGAUGCUGUGUAAAGAAUAUGGGUUUACCUACUUCCAUAAGAUCGAAAACAUGAUCUUGACUUCACGUGAUUCUUUUAAUUUAGAGAGUGCUGGUUUGAGAAGGUCAGCUUGACGGAUUACUUCCUUUUAAUAAAUGUCAAUACACUAUAUUUGAUAAUACUAUAAAAAUGUAAUAAACAUUGUCUUGUGCUGUUUUCUUCAACUACAGAUCCUCAAUUGAAUCAGUCAAUCAGGUUAGAAAUCAAAUGCUUAAAAUACCAAUUGGAGAAACAAUAUAGAAGUUGAAUAUUGCAUGCAUAUGAAACAUCAAUUCAAGCCCUCACUUAACCAGUGUGCACCAAGCAAAUCCAAAGUGUCUUGCAAUUAUGUAGCAUGACCAAAAUGCUAUAAAUGCAUCUGGGAACAAAUUUUUGAAGUAGAGGAAAACGUGCAAGUUGAAUCAUGUAUAAGAGAUCGGCUUGGGUCGAGAUAGCUUCUUCUUUAUACUUGAAGGGUGGGCUCAAUCUUGUCUUUAGAAUUCUGCAUGUUUGUAAUUAUACAUGUGUAAGCAAGCAUACAUUACCAUAAUAAUAACAAUAAGAAAAAAGAAGCAAAUGUUAUGAUACGACUAUAAACUCCAUCAGACAAACAAUAAUGUAUAAAUUAAUGUGACAUAAUAUGAUUGAUUAAACAAAAACAUCACAUGGACCACUUGAUUUAUUUUUUAUUAUUAUAUAUUUUCAGUCGACCAAUCAUAUUAUACCAUAUCAAUUUCUACAAAAUAAUUUGGUAGUUAGCGCCAAUACUUAGUUAAUUAAUACUGACCAUUUCAUUGAACAAUUUAUGUAUGGUGUCAUUGAGGUUGCCUUCCCAGCAUCCUUCUUAUUUUUCGGUGAGUUUCACUUUAUUUAGCGUUGGCGUGCCUAUGAUUCCUUGAGAGAAAAUCUUCAUCUUUGGGCACUGUCUCACAAGUACUUGUUUCAAGGACGGGAACUCAAGAGUGUAAUUACCUGAAUAAAAGCUUGUUAGGCUUGGCAAACAGUCAAGUCCCAAGUACUCCAAUUUCCCGAAAACAAUGCAAUCUUUCGCUUCUUCAUUUAAUAAUUAUAGAAGAAUAUUGGCUUAUAGAGCAUUUUAGUAGGGAUAAGAUUUGUGGACAGAAUAAAUGAAAUAAUAAAAAGCAUAGCUGAUCAAGUCAUUAUUGAUCUUAUUUUGAUUAUUACAUUGCACAUUAGUUUCUUUUUAAAAAUGCUAUUCUUCAUUCAAGCUUUCGCUUUAUCUUUUAUCAGGCAUCCUACAAAUCUUAUCCCUACUAAUAUGCUCUAUAAGCCAAUAUUCUUCUAAAAUUAUUAAAUUCCAUUCUUCAUUCAAGCCUUCAUGGACACUAUUUACAAAUUGUUCUUGUAUUUGACAGAAAAAUGAAAACUCCUCAUCAUACAAAACUGCAUGAACAAAUCUUCAAUUUAAUUAUGAUAAAAUAAUAAAUUCCAUUAAUAGAUUAUGUUGUAUUUUUUUUUUUUUUGACCACGAGAUAUCCUGAGGAGGGCCCCAAUUGUGGGAGGCACCUUUAAGCUCGUACCACAACCCAUACUAGAAGUCCCCACGGGAACCGGGAGGCACAAUUUCUCCCAACAAAGACGAUUUUCCUGCGACUCGAACUGGGGAGCAAACCCAGUCAAGCCACUUAGAGCCAACACUUUGUUGGUUAUGUUGUAUGUUAAUGUGAGGGAUUUGAUCAGGUGAUCAUAUAAUUUAGUAAACGCUUUAAGAAGAACAAGAAUUAAUAAGUUAAAAAUUAAAAAAAUAAAUAAAUAAAGAGUAGAUGGAAAGAAUGUUAUUUGCAAUCACUAAACCAAAGAACAGGGGAAUGAUAAGAGAGGACGGUUACUGCAACAAUAUGAAGUCAACAAUAUAAAGUGUUUACCAACUUAAAACCAGGGCUAUAAAGUGUUUGAUGAAUUAUUUUUUAAUUAAAAAAAAAAAACUGAUUUAGCGGGAUAAAACAAUGCUCCAUUCCGUUUAGUAUGUGAAGUCCAGAGUAUUACCUACUACUAACUAAAUCCGCUUGAUUCACAAGACUACCAAGAGAUAACUGAAUCAUUAUUUAAUUUUACUAUUAGGAAACCUACUUAUAUAAGGCGCAAACCACAAAUUCUAAAUUAAAUACCUAACCAUAAAUUAAGAUCAACCCUAACAGUCAUCCACCAGGUGCCGUGUAGGCUGCAUCAUAAAUUCUGAUUUAAAUAUUUGCAAUCACCGAACAGAAAAACAGGGGAACGAAAACAGAGGAGCCCUAUUUUUCCAUUUUUUUAACCCUUAACUCUUGCUCUUCUAAUUAUAUUUUUCCUUGGAAUUUCAAGUAUGAGAUGAAUUUGGAGAAAGUAAAUAAAUUUGAAUUACGUGAAAAAUUCUAAUUUUUUUAACCCUUAACAGUUGGUAUAUUUUUUUUAGGUCAUAGAUUAAUAAAUUUCUUUUAAAAAAAUUUAUAAUAUCAAUUAAUAUUAUAACCUAUAGAUUAAUACAGAUAAAAAUAUGAUUGAUUUAUCUCCACCACCUAAGUCUUAGCCAAAUUUAAUUAAAGAUUAAUUUAAUAAAUUACCGAAAAUAAUAAAGUAAACGAAAAAUAAAGCACGCAAUUAAGUAAUCAUGCUUCUAAAGGGCUAAUUAACCAUAAUAGGCAUAGGUAUUAAUUUGACUUCUAUGAAAGUCCCUUCUAGUUUCUCAAAAUUCAAAAAUUACAAUAAAAAGCCAAAGAAAAAGUCAAUGCUUCUAAAGUAGAAAAGUUUGAGUACUAGAUAGGCUGCCCAAAAUACAUUUUCAUUACUCACAUAUCUCUAUAGAAAGUAAUUUUUUUAAUAAAAACAACCUAUUUGGCUAAUAUUCAGUAGUCUUUUUUGUUGAUGGAAUUAUCCUCUUAACAAUAUUUUAAAAAGUUUACAUGAAUAUUCCUUUUUUAAAAAAAAAAAGAAUAAUAACGUGUAUUGUUAGGAUAAAAAUGAUCAUCAAUACGUAUGUAUAUAGGCACAAAUAUAUGAAAAAAAAUCAAGUUUAAGUACAAUGUAUAGGUCAAUGCCUAAGAGUCAAGCCUAAAUUAGGGGUAUAAAAAACUACAAAAUACAAUUUCGUACACUACAAAAUUUUGAUAUCAGCAGUAGGGGUAUAAAAAAAUCAUUGUUGCCAAAAAUCCAAAAGCUAACUAGAGGUUUGGUUUUGUUUCAAAAAUUAAAAAAACAAGUCAAUUCGUAAAAUCAAAAACAGAAAAAGAAAAACAAAAUAUAGAGGAAUUUACAGUUUAAAAAGAAAAACCAAGCCAAAACGAAAUUGAAUCGAAAGUCGAACCAACUCAGUUCAGUUUGAUUUGAAUUUUAUUUUAUAAAAAAAAAUGAUCGGAACCAACUAAACUGUAUUAUGUUAUAAAUUAUUAUAUAACAUAAAUUUUUGAAUACCUUUGUGACGAGCACAAUUUAAAAUUUUAUGAUUUUAAAUUUUAACAUUAAUGGAGAGUUAAUACUCCACCAUUUUCCAAUUUUUACAAUACAUAUUACCAGUUUAGAUAUGCUGUAUAUUAUUGUUAUAAUUUUUCGAGCAAGAUAAUAUUUGUCAAUUGGUGUUAUGACAUCAAAAUACUUGGUAUUAGUUAGUGCUAAGUGCUUCUUUUUCUUAAAAAAAGCGGUUCCUUAGUUUUAAAACAAAAAUCAUUAUCCUGAAAUUCUCCAUUUGCUUUGUUAACAGAUAUAACAAAAUAAAGUGAUAAAAGUUUAAUUUAUAAAACUUCGGCAUUUAUAUCUAUCAGAUUCAACACUUUAGUGUCAUAGAUUUAUUUCGGUGGAGCACGAUGUGGGUUGGGCCAGGCUUAGAAUUUUAAGCACGAGAGCCUUAAAAAUAUGAUAUGAUUAGAGAUGGACUGAGCACAGCACGAUGAAAAUGCCCACAAUAAGCACAUUAUAUUUUUUUAUUGAAAAUAAACUUAAAAUUUUAUGUUUUAUAAAUAACUUGAAGUUGAAUUUUUUAAAUUCAUUUAAUUCUUAGUUUAAAAAAAUAUUAUAAUUAAUUUAUAUUUAUAAUUUAUUAAAUAAAUAAUUGAUAUCAUGAUUUUAAUGAAUAAAAUUAUAAAUAUAAUGAUUUUAUAAAUAUGCAUUAAUAUUAUUGUGAACUAUGAUCUAUGACUCUAUGUAACUCUAAGUUAACAAUUAAGUUAACCCUUAAGAAAAUAUUAUUAUUAUUAUUAUUAUUGUUGUUGUUGUUGAGUAUUAAAAAAAUUAUAAUACUAAGAGGUCAAACUUAGAUCUAUUAAAUAUUACAUUUUCUUACUAUUAUUAGUUUAUUAUUAUUGAAUAUAAACUUGAGUUUUGAUUUUUUGAUUCUAUUAAAUUUGAAUAAAAGUAUAGACCUAAGAAAAAUAUAUAGACUUGAAAAAAAUACGCCAACAGUUUAGUAUGCCCUUUAAAAAUUAAAAAAAAAAAAAAACUUAGUGAGCUUUUUUUCUUAGGCAUAGCACGGCAUGUAUCGGCAUGUGUGUUAGGCCGGACCUAAACAAAAAAAAUAAAAUAAAUCUCGACACGACACAACACAAGCAUAAGCACGCAUGGGCCUUACUUACUGGCCCGACCCAUUGAGCAUCUCUAACUGUAUCUAUCUCCGCCAUAAUAAAUUAAACAUCGGGUAACUACUAGACUAGGCAUUAGCAUAUAAACUAACUAACUAUAGUACCAAAAAGAAUGAUGCGACAUUGUAAAAGAGAUGGGGCAAAGGGCAGAAUGGGAAACGAAUGAACCAAAUAAUAGUAUAUAAUAAUAUGGAUUUGGUAAAAAUAAAAAAUAAAUAAAAUAAAGUGGUGACACGUACCUCCUUUUAUUUCUCGAUCGAGUAGUGCAGAAAGUGGAGUGUGUGUGUGUGUGUUAAUUGUGAAAUGUCAGCCAAUUUUUUCUCUCUCAUUCUGAAACAGCUCAGCAGGAAUAGUGUACACUAGAGACGUCUGUCUGUCAGUCAGAACUGCCAAAAGAGCAAAACGGGUGCACGUACAAAUUAAAUCAGCCAAUCAGCGAUAUAUUUCAGUUACUAAAAGCUAGCACAGAGGGAACAAGCAAUAUGCAGGGCCAAAAGAGAUGAGACCCCUGAACCCGAACCCUCCUGAAUGAUCUGAUCACAUCUGAUUCGAUGUCUCGAGUCAUUAGAUUUAACAUAUUUUAACAAUAUUUCUCAGUUAAUAUGUGAUUUAAUUAAAGGUCAAGUUUACAUCUGAAAAUGAACUUAUUAAAAAUUAAUUUGAAAUAACAUCUAAGAUAUCUAUUUGUUUAUAAUAAAAUUUAAUUGUCAUAUCAGAAUUAUUUUCCGUUAGACUUUACAAUAAGUUAAUCCCAAAUAAAUUGACAAUUUCAAUUUUAAAGUUAGUUUGUAACUUUAAAAUAAUUUUCUAAUAAAAAUUUAAUCUGAAACAUUUGCAAUAAUAUCAAGUAUUUUGAUGUAAUAACACCAAUGUUUCACAUGCACACACAAGUCAUAUAUAAGUUAACAAAAACAUCAUUUGUUAUUAACAAAAUCAUGUUAAUUUUUAAUUCUUAAAUUAACUCCCUAUUAAAUUUUGGCUAAAUGUUAGAGUGCAAUUUAUGCACUAGUUUUGCAUUGUUUACUUCCCUUAAUAUCGAUGUUUUGCACUUAAUAAUAAUGUUUUACUUGUGUUUUACUUUUGUAGGUGCAAUUCUAUUGAUUGAUGAUAAAAUUGAGCUAAAAGAUGAUGUUUAAGGAGGAUUGUUCUCUUGGAGAAAUUAUGAGCGUCAGAAGAACUUUGUUGAUAAGGCGUGGGCGCGUGCUGUCAACUGCGGACCUGCAGUUUUUAGUUUAACGUGUUUUGUAUUUUUGGUUAUUUUUGUAAUUACGAAUUUAAUAUUUCAGAUAUUAGUAUUUUAUUUUAAAUAGAAUUCUAAAAGAGAAGAGAGAGAGAGUAUUUAAGGGAGGAAUCUAUUGUGAAAAAGAGGAUUUGGAUUGGAGAAAAAGAAAGAAACCCUAGAUCUAAUUUUUCUCUUCUCUCUAUGAAGAACUAAACCUAUUUUUCUGGUUGAAGGAUAAUGAAGCUUUGAUUCAUCACUACUGUGAGAUCUUUCUUAUGCUUUAAUUGUUUUAUUACUUUUUGGGUAUUUGUUUAUUCUCUGAAUUAGUUUCAUGAUUAUGUUUGUUAAUUAGGUAAUUGGCCACUAUUUAAUUAUUAACUUAAUCUAUUGUUAAUUAAAGGAUUCAUCGUAUGAAGAAUUUAAUGUUUGUGACAAAUAACAUAGCAGAGAGUUGUGUUGUGAGAAUAAACAAUCUAAUUUAAAUGAAUCAUCAUAUGUGUUGAUUAGGAUUUGGGUCUCUCUAGUUUUUCAGGCUGUCAAUUGAUUAAAUCCUAUGAUCGUAUCUAGGGUUGUCUAUUGAUUAGGGAAAUAUCCAACGGUCGUACCUUGGUUAUCGACUAGUUAAGGAGAGAUUGGCUAUUAGAGGGUCUCAAUAGCUAUAACCGGUCUAUUCAUAAGUAAUGAUAAUCUAUAUUUGAAUCAAUGAUCAGUAGUCGAAUCAAGCUGAGUUAAUUCCUUCAAUCAGAGCUUUCUCCAAUUUGAAUUACAACUUUAAUUUGCAUUCUUGUUACUUUAAUUUGAUUUUUAUUAUUGUCAACAAUUCCCCCAUUUUACGUUUUACGUUUCAAAAUGAUUUAAAUAAUUACCGAUCUCUGUGGACACGACCCUGCUCAAUCACUAUACACAAUUUAUUUAGAGUAGGAAUUUAUUUUUGUUGGCUUCGACACCCAUCACUAAAUCAUUAUUGCAAUUUAUAAAUUAAUAUUUAUAAAAAAUUAUGAAUCAUCCAAAAAGCUGCUUGAUAUAGAUUAAUUUCAUGGUCAUCAAUUUUUUUUUAUUUAUAUACCUUUAAAUUAUCACUUGUAUCAUAUGAAAAGACCAUAUUACCCCUCUAACGUCAUCAUAUUUAAACGGCAACUAAGCUAUGGUGAACGACAUUAUAUUUUGUCAACUUAAGAUGAAUGACUGAUAUACCCUAAAAGUAUUGUAGUAAAUUUGAUAAUAAAGUAUACAAUUGAUAAUUUUCCUAUUUAUAAUUUAUCCCCUUAAUUAUGAGUAAUUUUGUUUUUGUCUUCAUUUGUCCCUUUCCUACAAAACCGUACAAGUUACAUAUAUAAAACAUUCUUCUUUAAUCAAGUUUGGAAUAUUUUCAUCCUUAUGUAAAAUUAUGCAUAUAUCUUUUGAGUUUCUCAAUUGUACUUGAAAAAAAAAAUUACAUUUAAUCACGGUUGGUUAUCCAUAAAAAAUUUUAGGUGGAAAGUUCACGCGUUUUAAAAUUUAAUUGUGGAAUUAUAUUACAUUUAUUAUUUAGUUUCAAUUUAAUCAUGUAUCAAAUUCAUAUUUUAAAACAUGUGGAAAUUUAUAAUAUAUAAUGAUUCUAUGUAAAUAUAUUAUCUCAUUUCUUCAUUCUUUUGUUAUUAGUUCUCCUCCACCACAUUAGAUAUAUUUUGAAGUUUUCUAAUGUAAAUGUUACUAACAAAUACGCAUUGAAUAAUUAUCGGGUAGUUUAUAUUAUAAUUUAAUAAUAGCCACAACAUAAAUGUACAAUUUGGUGAUAGUAAAUGCCAUUACAUGAAAAUGAAAUCAUCAUGUUGCAAACAAGAUGCAACCAAGGGAUUGCAAACAAUGUUAAGUUACUAUUGGGUCACUUGAACUCCUGGGCUCUCUCCUGUGUAAUUUAUAUUAGACUGUCGCGUACAAAACGCAGACAUAUAUAUACAUACAAGUAGUGCUUUGGCAACAGACACAAUAGCCAAGAAGCAGCCCUUGUUUUCAAAUUCAUUCAAAUGCCAGCCUGCAGUUUUGAAUCCUUCAAAUUGUGCUCCACCUUUUGAGGGGACGAUGAAGAGUGAAAGAAGAGACAAAUGGCAGAAAUAUCAUCCAUUGCAAUGCCUCGUUUCUUAUAUUUCCAUGCCCGAACAGCACAUUCCACCAAUCUUUUUGCUGCCUUUUCCCUAUCCACUACUGAAGAAACAAUCUCCACCGCCUCUUGGUUCGAAAUCACAUCCCAAACCUGAAGAACAAUCCAUAAUUGAUCUUUCAAACAUUGACGUUAGUUCAGAUCAAAAGAUAAUUCCAAUAUGUGGAUACGUAUCCCGUCUGAUGCCAGAAUGAUAAAUUGGUCUCGUGUUGUUAUGUUUCUUUGCGUUACAUGGGGCACGGAGAUUAGGCCAUAGUCCUUGACACAGUAAUCACCCAAGGCUCUUGAUAUGGCUAGUCCCGGAGUCUCACCAUUCGGCAUCCAGACUCUGUAUACGCCUGGCUCAUCAUUUAAGCAAAACACAAGCCCUUUGGACUGCGUUAUUCGCUCCGCUUCCUCUGUAUAGGCCAGUGAAGACAAGAACCCGUACGCAGACCUUAAAACACACCCAUAUAUACACCUACACGAGGCAGAAAUAUUUAAGAGACAAUGAGAUAAUUGAGAUCUGAUUGGUAAAAUAUUGUUAAUUAAUAAAAAAUAAUUAAUAUACUUGCUAUUUAAGUAUUUUACUAAUACUUUAAACAUCAGUAUUCAAUGAUGUUAAUAUGUGAUUUUAAUAUUAAAUUUAUGUUCUCAUUUAUAACAGUAUGGUCAUCAGUAUUCACAACACAUCAUAUAUUAAUGUAUGGGUUUAUUAAUAUUAACAAACAUUUAUUUCCAAAUAAAUAUGGUAGCCUUAGUAUUUAAGAAUAUUCUUUAUUGUCUAGUCGUCUGUCCAAGGAAGAACGGGCCAUCAUCAAAUUUAUCAACGGCCUUCUCUAAGUAAUCAAAAGCAGGACCUGUGACAAAUUAAAACUUUUUCCGUGAGUUCAGCACAUAUAUAUACAUAUUCAAAAUGCAUUCCAUUAUAAACAAGUAAGCAAGUUUCAAAUCCUACCAGCUUGUUUUGCUGGGUCUCCUUUGAAUGAAGUAUACACAUCGUUGGUGAAGGUAUCGAUGUGGGAAAACAGUUCAUCAGCAAACUUUCGUUUCUCAGGAUCCUACAAUAUUUUCACAACAUUACUUUACUCAAAGUUGAGAGAGAGAGAGAGAGAGAGAGAGAGAGAGAGAGAAGCUUUUAUUAAAAGCAACAAUGUAAUCAGCAAAAUCUUACAUCAGGUAAAAGUGAAGGCCCUUCAAAAUUGCUGUCAACAUAUUUAAUCAAAUCAAGAGAUUCUCCAAUAACUUUGCCAUUGUGCUCCAGUGCUGGAACCUGUAAAGAACUCUAAUAGGUAAAUAUACUUCAUAACUCCAGCAAUGAUCUCUAAUCUUGCACGAAAGUGUAACAAUCAGUUUAACUCUUUCGUUGUGUUUUCUUGCAAGCAAGCAACUUGCUCAAAUCAGAAUAUGUUAAGAUUUUACUAGGCACACAAAGCACAAAGACACCAUUCCAAUUUUAUUCAGGAACUCCUCCGCACAGAUUACAAGCAUUUCAAUUUCAAAGAUGGGGCAUAAGGACACAGAGUCACAUAAUUAGGCUAUUUGGUAUUGAGGUGCUGUGGUUUUUUUAGCUACAGCUGCCACACGUACCCAAAAAAAAAAAAAAAACUGUAACUAUAAAAUAAAAAUUAAAAAUGCGUAAUAAAUAUGAAUUUUAAAUUAAGAUUUUGACAAAAAUAGUAGAAAUAUUAUAAUUUUACAAAACACUUUAACUCUGUACCUUUUAAUCCAUAGCCGCCCUACCUCAAUACCAAACACAACUAAUCUCUUCCUUUUCUAUAUCUGAAUUGGUCUAUCAACACCUUGAUUAGAAAAAUUCCUAAUUAUUAUUCAGAAACUUUCUAAUACUAUUCAAAAUCUUCCCAGCAGAUUCUAAGCUCCAUGUUAACCAAAAGAAUGCACAUAUUGUUGAUCUAUCAAAUUACUUAAAUGAUCAAUCAAAUAAAAUCAAAUAUUAUUAUUGAUCACACAUCAGCAUCAGCAUCAGCAUCACCUUGUUAACAGGAUAAACCUUCUCCUUGUACCAAGCGGGCCUAUCUUGGAGGUUCAGUGGAACUAACUUAAUCUUGUCUUGUAAUCCCUGCAGCAGCACACCAAAAGUUGUCAAAUUCAAAGAGAGUAUUACGACAAAGGCGAAACGAAUAAACCAUAAAUUACUGUUAUUGUUAUUAUUAUUAUUUUAAUUAAACCUAGAAAGCAGAGACGGGUCAACAGUGAUAAAAAAAAUAUAAUAAAAAUAGUAAAUAAAAAUAAAACCUUGUAGUUCCUGGUGAUCCACACACGCUGAGCAAAUGGGCACGAGUAAGAAAUGUACAACCUGGGAGUUCCAUCGAACAGAGGUGGUAGCUCGGCCUUCGAAUCCAACGGUGGAGGAAGAUUCUCUUGCGCUCUAUCAAAGAUGACACAUGAUCGUUAAAAUAAUGAUCAUAAUUAAUUAUGAAAUUCCAAAAAAAAAAAAAAACCAAAUUCUUGUUGUGGCCAUCGAGGAAGGUAAGACUCUAGAGGUUUCCUGAAUGCUUUUCUUUUGCUUUGAAGAAGAAAGUCAUAUGAUACCGAAAUGUGUCUCUACGCAGAAUGAGUGCGCUUAUAUAUAGAAGCUUUAAAGUAACCUUCUGAAGCCAGCAGUGACGCAAUGCGCACGUGUUAGGGUGUCAUGAUAAUAAUGCAUGUUGCCAAAAAAAAGGGCAAAAUUCUUAUCAGUUUUAGGCAAUUGCCAUGCAUAUUAGUUGGAUUCAAUGGCUGCAAGGGAGAAGCAGUGAGAAUAUCGCUGAUUAAUUAAAUUUGUAUAAUAGAAAAAAUUUGGUAUAUUUUUUUAUGACAUAUUGCUAAAAAUGUGGAGGCUUUGAUAUUAAAAAAGAGUUAUUUAUAAAUAAUGUUAUUAUGUUAUUGUUGAUUAUUAACAAUAAAUUUUUAGGAGAUAUCAUUUGGUUUACAAGUAGUUCAUCAACCGUGUUUAUUAAAAUGUUACAAACAGGAUUACAAAAUAUUAAAUUAUCCUAAACCCAAUUAAUAUCUGCAGGGAUCAGACGACUGUUAGAACAUAUGUUCUAUAAUUUUUCUCUGGAAAAAUAUUAUUUCUUGUACAAACAUAAUAAAUAGCUAUUUAUAACUUAAUAAUUCAAAAAUAGUUAAUUUAUAAAAAGACUAUUCUUGGUGUUAACUAAUGCAGUGGAACUGAUAUAAAUUAACUUAUUGUAAAGAAUUCACUGUAAAGAUAUCAUUUGUUAAUUGUUAAUUAUAAAUAUCCAAUAUUAAAAUUAAUUUCUGAUUUAAUCCAUGAUUGUCAAGCUAUUGUUUUCAUGGUUUACAAUUUUUUAAAAUAGAAGAGGUAAAACAUUAAGUAAAAAGUUUUCAAUCUCGUAUAAAACAAUGUAGAAUGUUUUAACCAAUUCAAAAUUUUUUAUAAUAAAGCAGUUAUUUUCAAAAUUCACAUUAUGUUUCUAUUACUCAUAAAAAAAAAUCCCUUCAAUGAAUGCAGACAUCCUUGAAAGAAACUUCACUACUCUAACAAAAAGGCCAAAAUUUUAGAAAAUGACAGGAAAAGAGAACACCAAUUGUCAACUAGAGUACCCUUUGUGAAAAACACAAUAAUAAAUAGCUGAUAUAUGAUUAGGUUAAUUAAUUGAUUGGAUUGGAAUCAACUUCGGACUGUUUUGCCCUUCCCUGCAGUGCAGCGUAUUAGGUGGCGAAUGAAGUAACUGGCCUCACUAAUUUUAAGUAAAAAGAUUGUUAAUAUUUAACCGCGUCUUAUCAACAUUCUUUGUUUUGAUUAAAAUAUACGACAUCGUUUGCAGAAGAGGCAGCAAGGGCAACAACGUGCCAAGUAUAAUAGACAAAUUUUUUAUCAUAUUAAUUGAGAAGGCUUGAGUUCUGGCCGAUGUUAAUAAAAUUUAAAACACAAAAAAACUGAUAAUGUCACGGCUGGUGAGAUGAUAUAUAAAUAUUAAAAAGAAAAAAAAGAAUUAUCAAUAUUUAAUUUUUGAAGAUUAAACUCAUUAAUUAAAGUGAAUCGUGCAUGCUUUGCUAGCUGAUAUCGCGCGCGCGUGUGUAUGUAUAAAUAUGUUAGAUCAAAUCCAAAGCUAAUUCCAAGUAUUAUAUUAUAUAUAUGUUACUAUUAUUAAUUAGAAUUCCCAAGCUCAAGCUAAUUAAUUGAUGGUAAUCUUUUGGAUGCACUUAAUUGUAAUUAACCGGAUCAAAUUUUGAAACCAAAAUAAUUCACGGGGCAUUCUAGCUUCUAGCUAAUUCAUCCAAAAAAAUAUAAAAUUAUAUAAAAAUAAUAAAAAUACGUGUGAUGUCAGCUUGAUGCGUACAUUCAAAGUUCCAAUUGAAAACAAAUAGAUAUUCAUUUUUCUUGUCAAAUUAUUGAAAGAGACAUCUCUUAAUUUCUUCCAUCACCAGCAACGGUUGAGUGACCUUGUCUUACAUUGUGCAGCAGCCUCCUCGAAGUAAAAAAAAAAAAAAAAUAUAGCCCAUUAUCUUGGCUUUUGGCUGGAUCCAAAUUUUUGUUAAAUACAAAUAAAUAUAAUAUCAAAUUAAAUAUUCCAAUAAACCUUCUAAUAUCUUCUUUGAACAGUUUUAUUUUUAUUUUAUGAGGGAAGAGUAAACCAUUAAAACUAUAAUUCAUCAUAAAUUUAUUGUGCCAAUUUUUUUUUAAAUCCAUAAUUUUGUGAAAUAUAAAUUUUAAGAAUUGAAAAAUAUCAUUAUAGCUUUCAUAUCCAAAGUUAAUUUUGAUAUUUUUGUACAAAUACAUAAUCUUCAAAUGUGGAUAAUGUAAAAGAUGAAAAUUGUCAAAUUAUUAGAUAAUUGUUUUUACAAAAUUUUAACGAUCAGAAAAAUCUUAAUUUAUAUGUCUUAGUUUAAAGAAUUGGUAUUAUCAAAUGUUACUUAAAUGUAAAUAUAAUAUAAAUAUUUUAUGUAUUUAUAUGUUACGUUUAUGAUUUGGUCACUGUUUAUCUAAAUUUUAAUAAAAUCAGACAUAUUUAUGUAAUUUACUCAUUAAAAAAAAAAUCCAUGAUUUAAUUUGCAAUGAUCAAAUUGUUGUAUUUUGUCAUAUCAAAAUACAUAUUUUUGUACAAUUACCCAUUAAGUUUAUGCUACAAUCAAGCUAUUUAUAAUAUAAGUGUGAUUUUUGAAUUUAAUAUUGAUAUUAGUAUUAAAUAUGAUAAUAAAAAAAUAUUUUAUUAGAUAUUAAUUGGGUCAUUUGUGUUAUUGUUUUUAAAAAUUAAUGACCUGCAACAUUAAUUGUCAAUAAUGGGUUUUUUUAAAACAUGCUGGUGCCCGGAUGUAAAUGCCGGUACCUCCCAAGUCAGUAGCCUUAUUAUAAUCCCGUCAGCAUAUUGGCCUGCCCCUGUACCAUUACUCCAAUUGAUGCUGAAAAUAUAACAACAUCAGUGACCGCGUUGUCGUUUCCCGUGAUGUUUAUUCCGAUGCCGGAGAAAUCCUUUUCGCGAUCAUCCCCGCCGAUGUUGAUGUGUUGGCCGAUGAAGGAAUUUCUUAUAUACGUUUCGUGGCCAUCUUGGAUGGAAAUGCCAGCGGUAGUGAAAUGCGAAACGUAACAAUUGUCCACUGUGGUUCUUAUUGAAUUUAUAAUGGCAAUGCCGCCACCCCUAAAAUUGGAGUCCAACAUAAGCUCCUUCAAAGUAAUGUAUUCGUAUAAUGACGAUGAUGAUGACGAUCUUAACUCUAUGAGAUGUCCGUUGCCCGAAAAAUCAUCCGAUGCUCGGAGGGACCCACCGUGUAUCUAUGUAUACAUAUAUAGAUGUUAAAAGUAAGAAUUAAAAGUAAGAAUUAAAUUUUAAAUUAAUAUGUGAUUUGGUAUGAUUCCUGGCAUUUUGUAUUCGGUUUUGUAGUCCUUCAUAAGACUGGCAAAAAUCAUUAUCAAUUAAACAUUAUGUUGUUAUAUUUUUUUAUUAUAUUUUUUUAAUGAUCUUUAUUUUAUUUGCUUUAAACAAUAUCUAUUUUUCAAAAACAAUACUUUUGACAAACAAACCCUAAAGUGAUGAAAGAGAAAGCAUGCAUUUUGCACAUGUUUAUAAAAACAAGAGAGUAUAUUUAAUCUCAAUCUGUAAUUCUGUAUAAUGUAUUAUUCUUAAGUUUGAAUCAAAUUAUUCUUGAUUCCAUCCGCCAAUCCAUCUCGGGCCAUUGAAUUAUGCAUAGCUAUUAUGGUAAUGGUCUCUUUAUUCUCCUCACAAUCAAUUAAUUGUGAUGACCAUACUGUUCUCACGAUUCUCAACCGCAAAAAAUUUAAAUAUUGUAUUGUACAUUUUUAUAAACAAAUUUUAUGUCAUCUCCAUUAUUGUGGAAUUUUAAUAUCCUAAUACAAUAUUAUGAUAGUAAUUGGGUCAAUAUGGGUAUUGGAUCAUAUUAUCGUUAUAAAUAUUAAUUUAUUAUAACUGAGUGUGUAAAGUAUCUUUUUUUAUUGUUGUACCAUAUUUAACUUUUGGCUGCAAAUAUAUAUAUAUUUAGCAUUAUUUAUAUCAAUAAGUUAAUAUAUAUAUCCUUUUCUUUAACAUCAAAUUUAAGUUUUUAAAAAGUUAUGAUAAUUCACUAAUUUGGUAUUUAGGAAAUUAAAUCCAUAUCAAUUUAUUAGAUAUCUUAAACCGUAUGUAAAAAUAGAAUAUUGACCAUUAUUCUAUUAGUAAUAUAUCCAUUAAAGAUUUUGACGUGCUAUGGUCUAAAAAAAUUAACUUGGCGGGAUGUUAUGAUUAUAUUCAAGGUGAUAGGGAAGAAAGUUAUGAGGAGACCCCAUUGAAGCCUAUAUAUUAUAGUAUGCAUAAAGACUCAAAAUGUGCACUUGAAAUAACAGUUGUCACUGACAGGUUAAGAUAAACUACCAAAUUGGCACUUAAAGGAAGAAAUUCUAGUAUUAGUGUCAUAUUUUAUGCCAUAUUAUGUAAUGCAUAUUAGUAAUGAUUUCUUCAUAAUAUCGCAGAUAUAUAAAAGUUCAUCUAGCUAGAUGCAUUGUAGAUUUUGUGAGAAUUAUUUUAUUCCGUCCAAAUGAGUUCACAUUAUUAUCCAAUUUUCCUUUUUUUAAGUUGAUUUAUGAAAGAAAAAAAAAAUGACACCAAUGUUUUCCACGUCGCCGCAAGUCUCAUCGAUAAAAGUCCAUCUACAAAUUAGUUCAUAAUUCUUUUUGUAACUUCGCUAAAAGCUAGUCAAGUCAUUGCUAGCAAGCCUCAAAAGCACGAAGUACGCGAAUCACGGCGAUAACUGAUAAUAACUUGGUUGUCCGGUUUCGCAUACUAAUUAGCUUGAUUGAAAAUCGUGAAGUAUGGGGCACGACUAACGCAACGCAUACGUCUCAUGCAUUAGGCAAAUAUUGUACGCGACCCAUGUUGAGAGCACAAAUCCACUAUCUACAAGUACUAUAUAUAGAGCUGCAAUGCGUGCUUCAAGUAUUCACAACUUACCCCCAGCUGGCUAGCCAGCCUCUAUAAUUUGAAGGGAAAAAAAAAAAAAAAACAACAACCUUGUUCAACUUGCAAAUACCUACCAAUUAUUAUGGAGAAAAGCUUUGAUAUCAUUGCCCUGUCUAUGAUCAUUCUGGUGACUUAUUCAUCUAAAAUGGUGUCGGUCGCCGGCCGGUCGCUGCAUGAACCAUCCAUUGUUGAGAAGCAUGAAAAAUGGAUGGCUGAGCAUGGGCGCACUUACAAGGACGACCUGGAGAAGGAAAAGCGGUUUAAGAUAUUCAAAGAAAACCUUGAAUACAUUGAGAAAGCCAAUGAGGAGGCGAAUCGGACGUACAAGUUAGGCACCAAUGAAUUUUCAGACUUAACUAAUGAGGAGUUUCGUGCUUCAUAUACAGGAUACAGGGUGCCAAGCCAGUCAUCUUCAUCACGGCAAUCCACAACAGCAUCCUUCAAGUAUCAAAACCUGACUGACGUUCCAACUAGCAUGGACUGGAGAGAGAAAGGAGCUGUCACUCCUAUUAAGAACCAAGGUCAAUGUGGUAAGUAAAUCGUAUACUAAAUAUUUAUGAAGUAACUAUAAUAGAUUAUUUAGCCUCCAACCUCUUUCAGAACUCAAACUCAGUUGACCAUCAGCUAAUUAAUAAAAACAGCUUGACAACCGUCUGCCAAACCCCUGCUGGGGCAUGUUUCAUGUAACUUAAUCAAGCCUUUUUUUUUUUUUUCCUUAAUAUGUACGAUGCAGGAGACUGUUGGGCAUUUUCAACUGUGGCGGCGGUGGAAGGGGUGACUGAGAUUAGUAGUGGUAAUCUUAUUCCACUUUCGGAGCAGCAAAUACUAGACUGCUCAAUAGAUGGUAACCGUGGAUGCGGUGGCGGUUGGAUGGACAAUGCCUUUAAAUAUAUUAUAAAAAACCAGGGUAUUGCCUCAGAAGCGGAUUAUCCAUACAAGGAAGUCCAAGGGACUUGUGAAGACGCACAGGUCAAGGCAGCUGCUAAAAUUAGUAACUUUGAAGAUGUAAAACCCAAUGAUGAGCAGGCUUUACUCCAAGCUGUAGCCAUGCAGCCAGUAUCAAUUUGCAUUGAAGGAAGUGGACCAGACUUCCAGAGUUACAAAGGCGGUAUUUUUAACGGAGGAUGUGGAACUCAGUGUUCUCAUGCUGUUGCUAUCGUUGGAUUUGGGGCAACUGAAGAUGGAAUGAAGUAUUGGUUAAUUAAGAAUUCAUGGGGGGAGAGCUGGGGUGAGGCCGGCUACAUGAGGAUUCUCAGAGAUGUUGAAGCACCUGAAGGUCUCUGUGGCAUUGCCACUAAACCUUCCUACCCAGUUGCAUGAGUAGCAGUAUUUUAUAUUAUAAAUAGCCGCCUCUUAAUAAUGAUGUCUUCAAGCCUACACAUGCAUUAGCCUCGAAAGGCUUAUACGAACCGUAUGAAUCGUAUGAUUCUGUGGUUUUACCUAUGUUGAGUAUUUCAUAAGUUGUAAUUGAACGCCAAUAUUUGGUAUUAGUUAAUGUUAAAUCUCUCGUUUAAAUAUAAGUUUGAUCUUUGCAGUAAUUAGUCAUUUACAUUUAAUGCCACGGAUACUCAAUUCGACCAAGAAAUACAUAGUUUAUAUCUUAGUUACUCUGAUAUUUUAUGUGGCAUGUUAUAUGUCGUUCAUUGAUUAAGUUGUAAGAAUAGUAUGUAAAUAAUUAAUAAUAAAUUUAUUUAUUAUCAUUUAUGAGACAAUAAAUGAUUAGUGGAACAUUAAUUAAAAUACAAACUAUUAUUAUUUAUUUAAGAAAUAUAUAUUGGUCAAUGAAAUUAAUGCAAGACAAAAAGUAACUGAAUUUUGAUUACACGCUUGAUGUCUGGAAGUACAAUGAUUAUGAAUUUGUGUUAAAUUAGGUCAAAGUUUUAAGUUAAAAUAAUCAAACCUAUAUACUCACACUAACUUUUAAAGUUUGAGUGGAAUUUGCCCGCUUUAAUUGGGGUCUCAUACAGCAAAAAAAUUUUGGCCAUCUUGAAUUUCUUUUUCUAAUUACUUAUAAAAAUUUAAAGGCUUGGUAAUUUCCCUCCCCCAAAUUCUGUCUUUAUUCCUAAGUAAAUUAGUUAGUCAUUAUUUCAAUAAUUAAAAUUAUUCUAAGUUCUAAAUUUUGGGCGUGGAGGGAAAGUUAAGCGCAAGUAGCCGUGACUGAUUAAUAUUAAACAAUAUAAUUUAAUGCAUUUUUAUUCUUCAUCUAUUUUUUUAAUAUUAGUUUUUGAACAAAAUAGUAGAACGAUAGUUAUAAUUUAUUAAUCAAAUUUUUUUACUUUCAUAUCCAUAUUAUAUUGUCAGUAAUAGUGUCAUGUAAUGAUAAUUAAAAGUAUUAGGAGAUACUUUUAAAAGUCGACCGCCUCAUCAAAAAAUCAGGAUGGCCAAGUGGUCUAAGGCGCCAGACUCAAGUUCUGGUCUUCGAAAGAGGGCGUGGGUUCAAAUCCCACUUCUAAGUAAUUUUUUAUUUUUUAUUCAUUUUUUUACAACGUUACGACUAAACGACGUCAUUUUCAUUAAACGGCAAGUCGUUUCAGUCGUCUUCUUUAACGGAAUAAAAAAUAUCUAAACCGAAGACCAAUGUUUCCAAACCCGCUGUAAACCCUACAGAUAACCCUCAUUGCCACUCGCAUCACUGAGUUCUUAACCUGAGUUAAAAUGGCCGAGUCCGCAUCCGAACUCAGUGAGUUCCGGAUUUUUCCGGCGGACUCACCGCCACCACAACCGAAUUCAACCGGAGUUCCGGUUCAUAAUCUAACACCAGAGGAGCUCGUGGCCAAAGCCAUAGCUCCAGUUAAGAAACAGUUUCUUCGUCAUUAAAUUCCAAAAUAAAUUUUAACAUAAUAAUUAAUUCUUUUAAUAGAUAAAAUUGUCUAUAUGCACGAUUGAAUUCAGCCCCAAAAUGUUAAUUAAAAAACAAUUAUCCAAUAUUCAAGAUAGUUUGAAUCGUCAUUCUCAUAUCGUUAUAAUGUCAUGAAAUAAUUGUACAAAAACAAAUGACCAAUAAAUUCACAAACGUAUAAUAUUGCCUAAUGUAAAUAACUUAUUAAUUAAUAUUGAUAUAUUAUUAAUUACUUAAUGUUUUACCUUUUUAUAAAACAUAAAAUUAUGUUUACUUCCAUUCAAGAUAUCCCAAAAAAAUUAAUCUUUUUGGAUGAUUCAUAAUUUUCAAGAGGAUGUUUUUACACCAUACCAUCGUCAAAUUGAUAAGGGCCAUGUUAUUUUUUAUUUAAUUAAUUUAAAUUUCAACUAGAGAGCUAUUGGAAUCGAUCACUGUAAAAGUUAAGUUGUGAUGUAAUCACACAAUCUUGAGAUCUGCUAUUAGAAAAAUAAUUGAAGAACCAAAUCCCAAUGAAAAUACAUCCAAAAUGAUGUCGUUUUGAAUUUGUUCCAAAAAAAUAAAAUAAAAUCAAACUCACUAAAAAACAACAUGUGUGUUUUUGUUAACCUUUUAUCGAGUUUUAAUUUAAAUAUUUAUCAUGUACUUUUAUAUUCUAUUCAGGACCGGCUCAACCAUAUUUGAGGCCUUAGGCAAAUGGUUUUAAUUAGUUUUUCUUAAAAUUUAAGACAAAAAAUAUGUAUAUUAGUUAUGAGUGAUGAUACAGCCACAAACUCUUGUACAAAUUGACGUGGUAUUAAUUUAUUGGUUGAAUAAAAAUAUAAAAUAAUAAAAACAAAAUCACGUGAGCCAAGUGAUAUUUAAUUCAACCAAUCUUAUCAUGCCACAUCAGUUUAUACAAGAGUUUGUGGUUAUAUCAUUACUCAUAAGUUAUAUAAUAUUUAUUGAAAAUCAAUUCUUCAAACACUCUCUAAAAUGUAAAAUUAUUAAAUAAAAUUAUAUUACACUAUUGUCAAUCCUUGAAAUUUUAAUUCAAUUAUAAUAUUUUUACUUUUUUUUAACUCAAAUUACAUCUUUUAUACUACUUCUUUUCUACAUUAAAUUAAUUUUUUUAUUCUUCUAUUUUCUAAAGUUUUUUUAUAUAGUUAUUUAUUUCACAAUAGAAAAAAAAGCACACAAAAAUAGUAGAUGAAUAAAAGAAUGUAUUAAAAAGAAAUAAGAACACAUAAAUAAUACAAUUAAUUAAGAGAAUAAUAAAAAAUAAAAUCUGAAAUUUGAAAUUUGAGAUGAAAUCAUAAAUUAACUUUAUCUUUAUAUUAAUUAUUUGAAGAUUUGAGUAAUGACUAAUAGCCAUAGAGAAUAGAAAAAAACUAUUAGAUUUUUUCUUUUUUUUCUUGAGUGGAAAGUAGAGGAAGCAAGAUUUUUUUUCCCCUCUCUCUCUUUCUUUCUCUCAAAAACGAAGAACAUAUGGUGUCUUCAUUGUUAGAAGAAAAAUUUAAUGGAUAAGUAAUAAAAUGUGGGGCUUUUAUAGAGGUUUAAAAUGAAUAUAAAACUUUUUAAUUAUAAGUUGUUAAUUCUAACAAUGAAAUAUCAAAUUUAUAGGAUUGAAACUAUUAAUUUAUCGGUUUUGUAGGAAUUAAAACUACUAAGUACUACAUUAAAUAAACUUUAUAGGAACUCGGUAGUUUAUUUGAGAAAAGAUAAUUACAAAAUAAUAAUAAAUUAGAUGCAUAAUAAUGAUUUUUAAAUUCACUUUCCUCUUUUAUAUACAAAAUAAUCAUCUUAUAGGAUCUUCAUGUAAAGUAGGGCCCUAAGCAACCGCCUAAGUUGUCUAGAGAUCGAACCGCUACUGAUUCUAUUACUAAUUUUGAAAUUUUCAGACAUAUUUAAGCUCCACUAUUUUAUUUUUUUAAUCAAAAUAGUAUGUUUAUUAAUAAUGAUUAUAAAAAAAAGAUAAUGAUUCAAUAAUGUUGUUUAUAUAUAUUGAAUCAACUUUAAAAGUCAACAUUUACUUUACACACUCAUAUAAAUGCUAAAAUAACCCUUUAUUUAUUUAUUUUUUUAAGGCUGUAGAAUGUAUUCAUUACAAAGAUAGAGUAAAUUUAAUUUGUGGUAUUCAAAAUUUGAUGAUUACAAUUUUUGAGUUGAUGGUCUUAUGCUUCAUAUUUGCAUUAAUUUUAUGUUUAAUGGUAGAAUUAUCAAGCUCAAUGACAGUGAUUUCAUGUAAAGCUUUAUUUCCUAAUUACAAUUUUAAGUUAAUGGUCCUAGAUUUCAUAUUAACAUUAGUUUCAUAUAUCUUUUAGGUUCAAUAUUAAUGAUUUCAUGUAAUACUCAAUGAUUUCUAGUUUAAUGAUUACAAUUGUAAGUUGAUGGUCAUAUAUUUCAUGCUUAAUAGUAGAAUUAUAUUAAUGGAUGAAGCUGUUGCUAUCAUUUACAUUAAUAUUUAUUUCCUGGAACUCAUUUAUAGCACAUCUCAAUGUCAUUAUUUAAAAAUUUAAAUUGAUGGUUGGUUUUGUAUUCAUUACAUCGGAUGAUUUAUAUUUAAAUAAAUUAUUUCAAUCUCAUAUCGUUUUAUUAUGGGUGAUUUUAUAUCCACAUUAAAAUUUUUAAAGUUGUUAUCAUAACUUUUUAAAAUCAGAGUUGUGUUUAUUUAUCAAUUUAAAACGUCAAUAAUCUACUAUUGGCUUAACAAUUGAUAUUCUCAUUUGGGAAUCAUCAAGAUUUUAAAAUUUUUCAAAGCCCCCAUGCUCAAUUUAUACGCAAAAAAGAGGGGGGGGGGGGUGGGUGGUAAGAUGCAUGAUCAGAAAUGAAUUUGGCAAGUAUUUGAUUGAGUUGAGAGGUCACUAAUCUCACUUAAUUUGCGAAUCACAAUAUGAUUGUUUUCAAUCGGCACCAAAACGAAGGGCUGGUUUUGGUUAUUAUAGUGCCUUGUUCUAUGAAGGAUUUUGGUUACCCACAUAUGGGAUUGAUCUUUGCUUCUACUCAGUAUAAAUUCUUGAAUUAUACUAUAUAUGGGAUUGAGACUUUCGUUAAAUUUUAAUUUAUAAUAUUUUUCCGGAGAAAAGUAAUUAGCAUGAAACACAACAGCGGUGAAUCAUCUCAUUUUUCAAGAAAUAAUAUUUGUCAGAGCUUUUUUUUUAUAUUAGUUUAUAAUUAACUUUUUUUUUUAUAUUAAUCACGAGGUAUCCUGGGGAGGGCCCCAACUGUGGGAGGCACCUUUAAGCCCGUACCACAACCCAGACUAGAAGUCCCCGCUCGAACCGGGAGGCACAGGUUCUCCCAACAAAGGCGACUUCCCUGCGACUCGAACUGGGGAGCAAACCCAGUCAAGCCACUUAAGGGGACUCCAUUGCCAGUGGAGCCAACACUUUGUUGGUUGUUUAUAAUUAACUUUAAUAUGUAAUAAUAUAGCAUAUUCUGGGAAACCUGUUGGGAUAAUUGUUUUUAAUAUUAUUAUGAUAUUACGCAUGAUUGGCAGUCGCAACUCAUCAUCAUCAUCAUCUGAAACCAUAUUAACAAACAUUUAUUUAACAAUAUUCUUUAUGUAAACAGGAUUACCCUAAACCCAAUUAAUAUCUGCAGGGAUCAGAUGACUGUUAGAACAUAUGUUAAAUUUGUAUAAUAUAUGAUUUAAAAAUUUAAAAAAUAAAUUUUUCUUUUUUGGAGAUAACAGUUGGUAUAUUUAUGAUUAGUAAAACUAAAAGUUUUAUUUUUAUUCUAUGUGCUCCAUCAUGGCAGUAGUUAUUUUUUUUGCGAUUAAACAUACUAUUUUGAUUUAAAUGGAUUACAAAAUGGCACAUUUUUUUAACCCUUAACAGUUGGUAUUUUUUUUUAAUAAGAUUAUUAAUGCAUCAAGUAAUCUUGUUUUGAUGAUUGUAACUCGUGACUGCGGGACAAUUUCUAAUGGAAACAACUCAAUUUCGGAAGAAAACUUAAUUUUGCAAGUGAUGAAUUUGAACUCGUUGGAUUGGUUGAUUUAUGAUCGACUGAAUUUCACUUUUCCUCAUAAGAUCUUUAACCAAAGUUUAAUAGCUAUCAUGUACUCCUUAAAAGCAAUUUUUUUUUAGAUUUGACUGAAUUUGAACUUGUUGGAUUGGUUGCUUUUAGAUUAUUAAUAUGAGAUAUUACAACGUAAAUAUUUUCAUGUGGUUGAGCCCUAUUCUAAAAUCUGUAUAGUUAGCUUUAGAAAGAGGGCUUUUCCUGCUGAUCUGUAAUCUUGAAAUAAACUUAGAUAUAAAUAAUGAAAUAAAAGACAACAAACAAGCAAUACUGAUACAAAGCCAACAGAUCAGAGUUUUUGGUACAAAUCCAAUAAAAGACAAUAAACUUAGGACCUUUUUUUCUUGCUUUCUUUUGUUGAAGGAUUAGAGUUUUUGGUAUUAUCAGUAAAGGUUUCAAGGAGUAAAGCCUAUAAACUUUUUUUUUGGGGGGGGCGCCGCCGCGGGGAUUUUACACCAUACCAUCGUCAAAUUGAUAAGGGCCAUGUUAUUUUUUAUUUAAUUAAUUUAAAUUUCAACUAGAGAGCUAUUGGAAUCGAUCACUGUAAAAGUUAAGUUGUGAGGUAAUCACACAAUCUUGAGAUNNNNNNNNNNNNNNNNNNNNNNNNNNNNNNNNNNNNNNNNNNNNNNNNNNNNNNNNNNNNNNNNNNNNNNNNNNNNNNNNNNNNNNNNNNNNNNNNNNNNGAAAAAUUAAGUUUUCAUAGAAUAAAAUGGUACGAUUUUUAAUUGAACAAUUGAGUGCAAUCAGUAACAAAGGCUUUACAUAUGCAAGUAAAAUUUGUAGGUUGCUUCAGAAAAAAAGGGCAUUUCUCACUCAUCUUUAAUCUGCAAGUAAAAUUAGCUACAAAGCAAAUCUAAUAAAAUGACAAACAAAAGAACAAAACAAAGAAAAGACAGGAGGCAAACAACAUUGAUCUUAAGCCAACUGAUAAUUAAACAGAGAAUUCUUUUUUUUUUUUUUUUUAACCUGUUGCUCAAGGAUUAGAGUUUUUAUAUUAACAGAAAGGUUUAAGGGGUCUGAAUAAAAGCCCACAAUUUCUCUAUUUUAUUUUUAUUUUUAUUUUUUGAAAGGAGCUUCACUAUUGGCCUUGAAUAUAAAAGAAUGAGCAAAAGAUCAAUGUCAACUGCCGAGGAAUGUGAGUAAAGAUUUCAUCAGAGUAAGUAAUACAAAUGAAUUGUAAAAGAACAAGACUUAAGCGUGCACCCCGUGUUUUGUUUUAUUGUACGUAUAAACAUAACAUGUUCAUUUUUAACAAAGUGGUCAAUAACUCUUUUUUUUUGGUACAAAGACGUGCCUAGCAUAGACUAGGGCAAAACAAAACGGGGGUGUGAAACCCCAAUACAAUCAUGACGAAUCCAAAACCCAGCCCCUAAAGGAAGAGAAUUGAAAAGGUGCAAUUCAACAGGUAGUGAAAGAGCAGAGUUUGCAGGAAAGUCAGCUGCAAAAUUUGAUUCUCUGUAAACAUGCUUGACCUGCACUUGCCAGGUUCUGUUAAGCAAUUCCUUAAUACCCCUGACAAGAGAAGCAUGUGCAUUUGGCCUAAUCUCGUCAUCCGCCACCAAACGAGUAACACAAAGGCUGUCAACCUCCACCUGAAGCUGCCGAAUUCCAUUAUCCCAAGCCAUACAUAACCCUUGAUAAAGGCCCCAUAACUCAGCACCAAUGAUGGUAACCACACCAACAUUCAUUCCAAAACCAAUUAUCCACUCUCCAUAACAGUUUCUAAUCAAGCCACCCGUACUAGACAGACCAGAACUUUUACGAGCUCCAUCUGUGUUGAGUUUAAAACAAGGCCAAGUAGGUGCCACCCAUCCAAAAUAUUUCUAAAUCUUCAUGGCAGCAGGAACCAAACAACUCUGAUUAACCUUUUGAAUUUCUUCUGUACGGAUCUUAAUAUCCAUUACAACAGUACUCUUGCUGGUAAAAACACCAUUAUGCAGAUUUUGGUAACGCCAAAACCAAAGCCUCCAAACUGUGACCCCAAAAAGACACGGCCAGUCAAACAUACCAUCAUACUUCCACAAGUUCCUCAAAUUAUAUAACGCCCAAUCUCGGAGAUUCAAACUAAAAAAUUGAUGACUAAUCCCAUGGGGUAUCAAUGACGACCAUACAUGCUUAGCACUGGGGCAAUCCCGCAGCACAUUAAGAGUAUUUUCAACAACACAGCCACACCUUGCACAACUCAUAUCAUCAACAAUAUGUCUCCGGAAAAGUUCUGCUUUAGUUUUAAGUCUAUUUUGACCCACCACCCACAGAAAGGUUUUGAUAUGUUGGGGACCUCUCCACUGCCAAAGAAUGCGCCAAAAGGAUUCUUCAUUGUGAACCUCCAUUUUUGACAAAGCCCUAUAUGCUGAAUUAGUAGUGAAAUCUUCUGACUUAGAAUAUGCCCAGUACAUGUAAUCAUCCUCAUCAUUUACACUGGGAGGCUUGGUGGCUGCAAUUUUGAGAAGUAAAUGAUGGGGAAAUAAAUUCUCAAAAAGCCGCCAAUUCCAAGUACCCUCAACAGUGAUAAACCUCGCCACACACUCCUCAAGCUGCUGUAAACGUAUCGGCUGCAAAGCGAAAGUAUACAAAGGGUAUUCCUCUGUUACCCAAUUAUCCCACCAAAAUCUAACUCGGUUGCCAUUUCCAAUGUCCCAUUUGAUCCCUUUUAAAACCUCAUGCCAAAUGCCUCCCACAGCCUUCCACAUGUAAGAGCCAUAUUUCGUAGGUAAUGUGCCGGGGAGGGCUUUAGGAGCCAGCCCAUACUUAGACAAGAGAACCUUCACCCAUAAACUAUUUGGAGAAGCAAUUAAAACCCACCCAAUCUUCAUGAGCAGAGCAUCAUUCAUUAAAUUAAGCUGCUUAAGACCAAGGCCUCCGCUAGGUUUCAGUUGACAUAUUGUAUCCCAUUUCACCAAACUGAUUUUCUUCUUGUCUGCUGCCCCGCUCCAAAUAAACCUCCUACAAGCCUGAUCAAUUUUCUCCCGAAUACCAAACGGAAUCUUCGUGGUCUGCAUUGCAUAAAUAGGAAUUGCCUGGAUUACCGAUUGAGUGAGAGUGAUCCUACCCGCCAAGGACAAAUGUAUCGCAUUCCACCCCGACAAACGUUGGUUCACUUUGUCCAAAAUUCCCUGAUAAGUCAGCUUAUUAACCCGUGAAUGAAUAAUUGGCAUUCCUCAAUAUUUCCCUAGGUUUUUUGUGACAGAAAAACCCAAGGAAUCACCAAUUUCCUUAGCCUCAGCAGACUUUAUGUUGUGGGAGAAAAAAACUUGUGUCUUUGUUUUACUAACUUUCUCUCUAGAGCUCAUACAACAAACAUUCAACACUUCAUUAUAACCAUUGCUUGCCUACAGGAAGCCUCUGCAAGCAAGAUAAGAUCGUCAGCAAAAAAUAAGUGAGAUAAAGAGGUACCUCCACGAGACAGUUUAAUAGGUUUCCAGUGCCCUCUCUUCACAGCGUCAUUUAUUCCAUGGCUUAACCUUUCUAUACAUAACACAAAGAUAUAUGGGGAAAUGGGGUCUCCCUGUCUAAUACCCCUAGAAGGGGUAAAAAUCUCUGUAAUUUCUCCAUUCCAUAGAAGUUGCAUAGUCGCCGUUGUAAUACAUUCCAUAAUAAGCCGAACCAAAAUAGUAGGCAAUCCAAACUCCCUCAAGGUUUCAUAAAUAAAAUCCCAGCUUAAACGAUCAUACGCCUUUUCCAAAUCCACCUUAAUGGCCAUCUGCCCAAUCCUCCCUUUCUUACGUCUCAUCAAAUGAAUAACUUCCUGAGCAACCACUAUGUUUUCCGUUAUGUGUCUCCCCCGGAUAAAACUAGUCUGGGUAGGUCCAAUGAGGUCAGGCAAGAUAGAUUUCAGCCGGUUAGCUAAUAACUUAGUGAUAGUUUUAUAGAUAACCGGGCAAAGACUAAUCGGACGAAAAAGCUUAAGGCUAAUAGGAUUAUCCGACUUAGGAACCAACACAAUCAGAGUUUUGUUCAACUCCUUAGGGAUCUCGUUGCCAUUAAAAAUACCUUUUAUAAGACUACAGACAGAUUUUCCCACUACAUGCCACUGGGUCUGGUAAAAGAGAGCAUGCAACCCGCCUAUUCCAGGGGCUUUCAAAGCCUUCAUGCCGAAGAUCACAUUCUUAAUUUCCUCAUCCUCCACUGCUUGUCCCAAAGCUUGCAUUCGACUUUCCUCAAGGACUGGGAAGGCGUUAACAACAUGGUAUGGAUGAUAGAUUGCAUCCUCUUUGGAAUAGAGCUUUGAAAAGAAGGACACAGCAUAAUCUCUAAUCUCAUCAUUAUUCAACAACCAAUAACUCUAUUCGUUAUGAAAUUGAUAUUGUACCCAAUUUUAAGAGAGCAUAAUAAUAACCAUUCAAUGCAUAAAUUUAGAAUUAGGAUUUUUUUGUAAUUCUUUAUUUAAAUAUAAGCUUCAAUGGAAAAUUAUAAAAAUUUAGAUAUAAAAUUUUAAAUCACCAGACCAAAAAAAAAAAAAAAAAAAAAUAGGGGAACGGAAAUAGAGGAAUCUUGCUUUACCUUUUUUCCCUUUAACUCUUGUUCUUAUAUAAAUAAUUUUGUUUUGAUGAUUGUAACUCGUGACUGCGGGAAAAUUUCUAAUGGAAACAACUCAAAUUCGGAAGAUAAGCUUAAUUAUGCAAGUGAUGAAUUUGUUCAAUUGACUCUGUACUUGAACUAGUUGGAUUGAUUGAUUGAUGAUUGACUAAAUUUGAAUUAAGUUUAAUUGCUUAGCUAUCAUUUACUCCUUAAACGCAAACGUAAAUAUUUUCUUGUGGUUGAGCCCUAUUCUCAAAUCAGUAGGUUGCCUUUGAAAAAGGGCUUUUCUCACUGAUCUUUUUUUUUUUUCUUUAAUUCACACGCACUUGAUUAUUGAAUUCUUUCAUGAAGAAAUAAACUUGUAAUGACUUAAAGAUUUAAUUUCAAGUUAGAAUCAAUACCAAAAGACGGAGGUUUAACAAAGCCGUUUAGUGUGAUAAAAGUACUUUAAAAAAUGUUGUUCGACCCAAUUAAGUUGAAGAAAUAAUAAAGUUUUCAUGGAAUAAAUACCGGUUGUGCCUUAAUGAUUUUGGCAUAGACGUUGCUUGUGUACUGUGAAAUUGAAAUGAAUAUUAAGUGACUGCGCGAUGUAUAUGCCUAAUAAAAGAUCAGCAAAAGCUUGGAUGAAUGUUUGAGGACCAAAACUUUUAUAAAAGCAUUUUUGAGAGAAACUAAACACCAAAUUAUCAAAGUAAGAUCAACAGUAUAUGAUUUGAUUUAUACAUAUUCAAAAACAAAAUAAUGAUUAAUAAUAAAGUUUGAUUUUGUAUUGCCAACGAUGCUUUUUUGUUGUUUCAUUUGUUCGACGUGGCCUUAUUUACAAAUUGGUUUAUGUUAACAGAAACAUGAAAUUCACAUUACACAAAAUUGCAAGAACAAAUAUUAAGAGAACGUAAUAAUAAUUACUCAAUGCGUAAGGAUAAAUUUAGAAUUACAUAUUCUUUUUUAUUUAAUAAAGUCCCAACGGGAAAUCAUAAAAAUUUAUAUAUAAAAGCUUUCAACCACCAAACAAAAAACAGGGGGAAUGAAAACACAGGAACUUGUUUUAACUUUUUUUCAUCUAACUCUUGUUCUUAUAUAAUAUUUUCCCUAGUAUUUCAGGCAAAAAAAAAAAAAAAAAAAUCAAUAAAGAGCAAGUUGCUCAAAUUGAUUUAUCUUGUUUUUCAGGCAAUCUUGUGAUAUGAUGAUAAAGCUCAUGAAUGCUAGAAAACUUCUAAUGCAAACAACUCUAUUUGGGAUGAUAAGCUUAAUUUUACAAGCGAUAAAUAUAAAUAACUUUUUGUGGUUAAUUGAAUUUGUAAUUACUCUUAGCCCUAUUCUAAAAUUUGUAGGCUGCCUCAAAAAAGAAUAAAAAAAAAUUUCUUACUCAUCUUUAAUCUUCAAGUAAAAAAAAAAUCUAAUAAAAUGAAAAACAAACAAACAAGUAAAAGACAGCAAACAAACAACAUUUAACCAACUGAUAUUUAAACAGGGAAUUCUUUCUUCUUCUUCCCCCCCCCCCCCCCCCCCCCCGGGCUCAUGGAUUAGAGUUUUUGCUAUUAACUGAAAGGUUUCAAGGGUCUGAAUAAAAUCCCAGACUUUUUUUUUUUAAUUAACCAAAGCCAUAUAAUAAGAUCACAGACUUUUAACAAUGAACAAUAAUUUGAAACUCAAGCAAAACCAAUGACAAGAUUAAAACAAACCAGAGAAAUUUUUUCUUGGAAAGUAGAUGAAAACUAAGUAAGAACUGCUAUUAAAGGAUAUUAUUAAAGGAUUUAGAACAUGUAUACCUCUUUAUUUAUAUGGGAUCAGAGAGUCGAUGACCUCCUCUAUUCGCUUCGGAUAUUAAGUAAGAAUUGCUAUCAAAAGAAUGAAUUGAUGAGAGUAAUAACAAUGAAUUGCAAAAGAGGAAGACUUAAUCACGUACCCCUAUUAUACCCGAUUUUUAAGAUUUAAUUUUGAAGUCCAGAAUCAAGACAAAAGACGAAGCCUUAACAAAUAUGCAGUGAGAAUAAUUAAGUUGAAGAAAGCACUAGUUUAUGGCUCAGUGUUAAGUUGAAGUUUAUGAAAUAAUUAACUAGUUUAUUAUGCUCAAGUCAGUUUUUGGGCCUUUGCCAAAAAACUUGUGCCACCACUCAUAUGGCUUAAUAAACAUUGUCUUAAAAACCAAAAGCUUUUUGAGUAAUUUGCAGAAAAAUGAAAUAGAGUGUAAAAGAAAGGAUUUUCCAUGAGAAGAAGAGAGAAAAAGAUGCCUUGCAGACCCCGAAAAAAUAAAUAAAUCCUCCUUUUAAGGUCACGCCCCACUCUCCUCUUUUCCCCUUUGUUCUCCUCCACUUACGGGAGUUAAGGAUGAGAUAAAAGUAAUGCCUCCACUCUCCAUUUUUUUCUCCUUUUUCCGUUACCAAACAUCAGUCCCCCAGUUUCUAGUGUUGAGAGUUUUAACGAAUCAAGACUGGAAACUAUAUGAAUUUUAAAGUGACAUCGAUGUGGUUGGCAUAAAUCGGCUCGGGAUUGCUAAAAUUAACCUUACUAUUAGCAAAAAAUUUCAAGUUUUAAACUUUUACUUGCCUUUAAAUAUACCAUUUUCCUACUCGCAUAAUCAUGUAAAGCAGGUUUCAUAAGUUCACGUAUUUAUCUCACCUGAAGUAAGUUUUGAGACUUAGUCAUUUAUCUGCUUUAGAAUAUUUUUCACUCAUAUAACUCUUGCUCGCCUAAUCUUGGUCGGGCAAGAGCAGGCAAACUUUGACUUCGUCUCACUACGAGGAGGUUUAGAGACUGUAAGCCUUUCACUUGAAGUACCCUUUUUUUUUUUUUUUUACUUUCUGCUUGCCUUCACAUGGUUGAGCAGAUUCUGGCAAGCUUGACUUCUUGUCUCGCCAUCGAGCAAACUUUGAGACUUUGAAGUCUUUUAUGUGCCUUAGAAACUUUCUUGGGAUUUUUGUUCUCUGCUCGCCUUUACAUGGUCGAGUAGAUUCUGGCGAGCUUGGCUUCCUAUCUCGCCAUCAAGGAGGCUUUGAGACUUUGGAGCCUUUGCUUGCCUUAGAAACUUUUUUGGAACUUUUGUGGUUUGCUCGCCUUCGCUUGGUCCAGCAGAUCCUGGCAUACUUGGCUUUCUGUCUCGCCAUAAAUAGGCUUUGAGACUUUGGAGCCUUUGCUUGCCUUAGAAACUUUUUUGGAAUUCUCAUUGUUUGUUCGCCUUCACAUGGUCGAGCAGCUUCUAGAGAGCUUGGCUUCCUGUCUCGCCAUCGAGGAGGCUUUGAGACUUUGGAGCCUUUGCUUGCCUUAGAAACUUUUUUGGAACUUUUGUGGUCUGCUCGCCUUCGCUUGAUCCAGCAGAUCCUGGCAUGCUUGGCUUCCUGUCUUGCUAUAAAAUAAGCUUUGAGACUUUGGAGCCUUUGCUUGCCUUAGAAGCUUUUUUGGAACUUUUGUGGUCUGCUCGCCUUCGCUUGGUCGAGCAGAUCCUGGCUCCUGUCUCACCAUAAAAUAGGCUUUGAGACUUUGGAGCCUUUGCGUGCCUUAGAAGAUUUUUGAAACUUUUUUGGUCUGCUCGCCUUCGCUUGGUCGAGCAGAUCCUGGCAUGCUUGGCUUCCUGUCUCACCAUAAAACAGGCUUGGAGACUUUGGAGCCUUUGCGUGCCUUAGAAGAUUUUUGAAACUUUUUUUGUCUGCUUGCCUUCGCUUGGUCGAGCAGAUCCUGGCAUGUUUGGCUUCUUGUCUCGCCAUAAAACAGGCUUUGAGACUUUAGAGCCUUUGCGUGCCUUCAAUGUGCUCUUAUUUGAGGUUUUUGCUUUAAAUCCUAAAAUAUGGACAACCAUCAAAAAUUUAAUUUCGGACUUGUAACUUAUAACUUGUCCAGAAAAUAGCUCACAUUUACAACUUGCGCUUUAGCUAUUUAUAUAUGUUUGGGCCUUUGAUGGAUAAACAUCCUUGGUGUUUUUAUUACCAUCUAUAAUAUUUGGUUAGCAAUAUUAUUAAAGACCUUUGCUAAAGGUGCGGAGCACCAUUUCCCAACACUAAAGAUAUUAAAAUUUAUAUAUAAAAUAAAUCAUAUUAUAUAAAAUAUGUAAUCAACAAAUAAAUGGUACCAUAAAAGUUUAAGCAAAGUCAUAUCACUGUAUCAAGGAAAUACGAUCUCAUGCUAACCCAAGUUCCAUCAAUCCUUCGGUCAAGCAUGUUGUGUGCUAAUAUAUGACUAUGCUAUAUAUUCUAUAAUAUGUAAUCCUUCGGUCAAGCAUGUUGUGUGCUAAUAUAUGACUAUGCUAUAUAUUCUAUAAUAUGUAAUCUUAACUAUUUUCUAUUAACGACUUAAUAAGUCAAAACCUCAUCCAUCAGAUUUUUGAAGUCAGGUAGUGGAUUUAAAGGAUAAAUAUAAAACUGGGGUUUUAGAACAAGUGCACCUGAGAUUGUGCUCUGCAUUAUUUCAUUAGUACUUCAUCAAACAAAUCCCGAGCUUGACUCUGCUUUGCUCCCUUCUUAGAAUUAUUCUUGCAAUAUUUUAACACGGGCACAAAAUGAAUAAAAUAUGAAGGAAACAAAAAUCCAACUUCAUCAAUUCUUUGAAGCUUGAAGACAUGCCUAUCAAUUCUCAUCAUCAAUAAAAAUUUGUUUUGUUUUAAAACCAUUAUUAAGGUUAGCCAAAAUACCAAUACUCGGCCUCAUCCAGAUUAUGCUAAUUAUACUUCUUCCAACACUCAUUAACGAUUAUGAGAAUUUGUGCAAUGUGGAUGACAGGUACUAUCAAAAGACAGCGAAUAUAUGCAUAAUUUCUAAUGUUCUCUUUGCGAAAAUAUAAUAAAGCUAUGGUUAAGAAUAACUCAUGCUCUCAAUCAGUUUGAUACUUAUAUUAAAUAAACUGAAACAGAACCUGGGUUUAGAUCUUGGCUCCUGGGCAACAUUCUCUCAAGCAUAUAUGUAGUGUAUGUAGUGUAAUCAGCAACAAACUCACUUUUGAACUUUCAUAUCCCUUGAGGCGAUUUAACGAACAGCUCCUGAUUUGAAUUUUAACAAUUCUGCCUCAACUUGUAAUGAACCGAGUUUUAUACCAGAAUUGUCUAUAUACUUUCCCUGCAUAGUCUUCACAUGAAAACUAGCUGCAUGAUUGAUUGAUGGGGUGUAAAACCAGUAGGAAAUAUCUUGAAGAAACCAAAGAUCCGUGGAUUUUUAUGCUUACCACCAAAUGAAUUUAACAAUUUGUGUAAUCUUUAUUUUAAGAAAUUGAACAUUGAUAAUACCGCAAAUCGAUUGCUCUUUUGAACAGACUUUAUAUCUUGAGUUCGAUGAAAAGAGAACAAUCAAUCAAGAAAUAUAAAUACAUCAGCAAAAUAAUGAUGGUAGUAGCAUUACACAUCUAAUUAGCCAUAACGAAGCCGAAUAAUUAGCCAUAAUAAAUCUGAACUGUUAACAUUAUGUCAAGCAUGUUGUUGGAAAAUAUUAAAUUAAUUCAUUUGCAAGUAUAAUAGCAUGUAAUCUUGAAUUAUGAAUGAAGCCCAUUCUAACAAGCUAAUUUUGUAAAGGAACAUUAUCAACGAAUUCCAAGGGAUAAUAUUCAAUUUCAGCAAAUAUAUCAUGCACGGUAUUGAAACAUGCAUGUUAUUAAAGAAUUUCCAAGCAUCUCUCAUUUGAUAAAUCAAUAAUCAUAGCAAUUGGAAAUUGAAUUUUAAUGACAAUAUACUUAAAGCAAUAAAUAAGCCAAAACCUUUACAGGUAAGCAUUCCAUCCAGCCUUGAUUGGCUUCCGUGUUUGAGCCAGCUUAUCAAUUUGUGCAUGAUAAUAUUCUGCCUUUGGCUUGGCCGGAUGAAAAAUUGGUAGAGACAAGAAGUUGGCUUUUUGUACCGAUUCCCCACAGACAGUGCCAAAUGUUGAUGCCCAAAUCUGAUCUAGUCUAUUAGCGACUUAAUAUCAAACUUCUACACCAGCAUUAGAUUUAUUUGGUAGAGAAUCGAUUGGUCAAUCGUCAAGAUGUCCUGCAACCACUAGCGAUUAACUUGCGAAUACUUAAAAUCAUAGAAGACGGUCAGAGGCGCUGAAAGUUUUUCCGACGUGAACCCUCCGACACUCAAGUCAGUUUCUGGGCCUUUGCCAAAAAACUUGUGCCACCACUCAUAUGGCUUAAUAAACAUUGCCUUAAAAACCAAAAGCUUUUUGAGUAAUUUGCAGAAAACUGAAAGAGUAUAAAAGAAAGGAUUUUCCAUGAGUGGAAGAGAGAAAAAGAUGCCCUGCAGACCCCGAAAACAUAAAUAAAUCCUCCUUUUAAGGUCAUGCCCCACUCCCCUCUUUUCCCCUUUGUUCUCCUCCACUUACGGAAGUUAAGGAUGAGAUAAAAGUAAUGCCUCCACUCUCCAUUUUUUUUUCUCCUUUUUCCGUUACCAAACACCUACAAAUCUUAUCCCUACUAAUAUGCUCUAUAAGCCAUUAUUCUUCUAAAAUUAUUAAAUGCCAUUCUUCAUUCAAGCUUUCAUGGACAUUAUUUACAAAUUGUUCUUGUAUUUGACAGAAAAAUGAAAACUCCUCGUCAUACAAAACUGCAUGAACAAAUCUUCUGUUUAAUUAUGAUAAAAUAAUAAAUUCCAUUAACAGAUUCUGCUGUAUGUUAAUGUGAGGGAUUUGAUCAGAUGAUCAUAUAAUUUACUACACGCUUUAAGAAGAACAAAAAUUGAUGACUUAAAAAUUAAAAAAUAAACAUAUAAAGAGUAGAUACAAAGAAUGUUAUUUGCAAUCAACAAACUGAAGAACAGGGGAAUGAUAACAGAGGACGGUUGCUGCAACAUUAUGAAGUCAAAAUUAAGAAAGGCAUUUUUUUCUUUUUUUUUUACAUUAUUCUAUUUAAUCUUAAAUUUUUACAAUCACCAAAUGGAAAAACAGGGGACUGAAAACAAAGAAGCCCUGUUUGCAGAAACAGGGGAGUUUCCGGGUUUCUGGAAACAAACUCAGAAACGAAUGAACUGGCUGCCGGCGGUACUUUCUAGAUAAAUCUCUUGGUGUAUAUAAGCUUUCAUGAUCUGGUUUUAGUCUGGUUAGGUUCAGCCACUGUGACUGUUAGGGAUUCUCGUAAACUGAAUUUAAAGUUGCGGCUUAAAGUGUUUACCAACUUAAAACCAGAGCUAUAAAGUGUUUGAUGAAUUAUUUUUUAAUUUAAAAAAAUAAAAAACUGAUUUAGCGGGAUAAAAUAAUGCUCCAUUCUGUUUAGUAUGUGAAGUCCAGAGUAUUACAAAGAGAUAACUGAAUCUUCAAUGUAAUAAAAUAAUGAUCAGCCUCAGAGGAUACAUAAAAAGCUCAUUUAUCACAACCAUAUCCUAGUGCAUCAUAAACUUGAUUAUUUAAUUUUACUAUUAGGAAACCUACUUAUAUAAGGCGCACACCACAAAUUCUAAAUUAAAUUUCUAACUAAGAAUAAAAGGUAAAGCCUAGCAAUUUUCCACCAGGUGCCGUGUAGCCUGCAUCAUAAAUUUUGAUUUAAAUCUUUGUAAUCACCGAACAGAAAAACCGGGGAAUGAAAACAGAGGAGCCCUAUUUUUCCAUUUUUUUAACCCUUAACUCUUGUUCUUCUAAUUAUAUUUUUGCUUGGAAUUUCAAGCAAACGAAAAAAAAAAAAGUGACAACUAUUUAGAGAGAGCAGGUGGAUGAUAGCAAAAAUAUUUUUAAUUAAUAUGCAUGAUUAACUCUUGUUCUUCUAAUGUAGUGGCUUGAUUAAUAUUUUUAAUCAAGCCACUACAUUAUUGGUAGUCUCUGUGGGCUCAUUUCGUCUCCAGACCUGAUAUUGUAUAUCUCUUUUUGAAUAUGUUUAAUUAAUAUGCAUGCUGCUGAAUAAAGACGAUGAUUUCCAAAUUUUUGUUGCUUUUUUUUUUUCUUUUUCUGCUUUGGUACAUGAAGAAUGUGGAAAUAGAAAUAGCUUUCGAAGUUUAAUGGCUUGCUUCAUUAGUAAAGAAAGACUAGGAUAUCUGUCCCUUUUUGUUACUGAAUUAUUGAUCAAUUGACGGUUGAAGUGUCAAAUGUGUUCUUUCCUUACAAUUGUAUAUGCUAUUAUUAAUAGAAAUUAUUAAAGGAUUUAGAACAAGUUCGCCUUUUUAAUUAUCUGGGAUGAUGAGUUUCUUUAUUCACCUUGAAUAUGUAAUAACAAUUUUAGUGAGCAAAAGAUCACUGGUAACUGCAGAGGAAUGUGUGAGUUAAGAGCUUAUUAGAGUAAGCAAUACAAAUGAAUUUUCAAAUUAUGUACUUGGUCACUGUUGUCCUACUGUCGCACGUAUUUUUUCAUGAAUAAUUGCCAGAUCAGAAAAGAAUAAAUUCGGUUGGCUGAAGUAAGUAAAACAAUCUUCAUAUCGAACAUGAUUCCAAUUAAAUUAAGCUUUUUGUAAGAUGACUAAUAAAAGAUAAAAGUAGAAGCUUUGAUGAAUGAACGAGGACCAAAACUUUUGUAAAAGCGGAUGCCGAUAAAAUAAACAAAAGGCACUUUAAAAAGAAACUAAAGUGCGAUCAUCAAAGUAAGAUCACUAAUGAUGCUUCGCUAUUACAAGGUCCGCAUGGACAUUAUUGAGUUCUGCUAUUUGAACUACGCGAAGACAAAACAAAGACAGAAAAAUUGACACUGUUACUUCAACGGCUGUUUAUUACUUUUUGAAUUUAAAAAAUAAAAUAAUCAAAAGAAAAAGGAAAAGGAAAAGUAACGAAAAAAAAGAAAUAAAAUAAUCAAAAGAAAAAAAAAAGAUUACUUUUUGAGUUAAUCUUUCUCCAUCUCUCAUCUCUGCUAUCUGCGUUCACGCACAAAGAAAAAACUCUUCAUCUCACCAUUUUCAUCUCUUUGCAUCUCACCAGUUCCGCAUCUCAGUUACCAUAAGGAAGAAGUUAGAUCUAGAUCUAUAAACAGAGAUUUUGAUAAAAUUAGUACUGAUUAAUUAGUAAGUUAGUGACUCUCACUAUAUUCAAAUAAAAUUUUUAUUGUGUUCUAUAUAUUUAAAUGAUUAGAAUAUUUAAUUUAAAUUGUAAAAAUUCGUAAAUUUUUAUUUUUUAUAUAUUUAAAUUGUUAUGAAUUGUUAUGAUUUUUUUAAUUUAAAUGGUUGUUAAAUAAUGGAAUAGAUUAUAACAAUUUCUGAAUGUGUUUUAUGAACUUUAAAUUUUUAAAAUUAUGUUAGAUUUGACUUUAAAUCUUUGAAAUUGUAGUGAUGGAAUAAUAUUUUGUGUUAAAUUAAAUUUUUAAUUUUUGAAAUUAUGUUAGAUUUGUUUAAUUUUGUCCGCUUGCAAUUUAUUUGUUCACGCUAUCAUGAAGUGAUAUUAUAUAGGCAUCGAUGGUUUUUUAAUUAUUACAAAAUAUUAUUUUUUAAUUAUUUAACAAAAAUUGAUACAAAAUAUUAAUUUUGUAUGACUGAGAGAUACAUAGGGUUAAACAGGACGAGUAGAGAAAGGAACGAAUGAAAAAUAAGUGGAAUGAACAAAGUAAUUAACGAGAAUGAAUAGAGGGGACAAAGUGGAGAACGAGUAGUUGAGGAUGAGAAUAAGUGGAUCAGAUUUUAAAUAAUAAAGAUAUUUAAAAAAUUUUCAUUUUUUAUUAUAAUAUUUGUUGUUGGUCCCACCAAAAAAUUGGAUGAGAGCAGGCGUGAAAGAGCAUUUUUUUUCAUUUUUAUUCUUUAUUUUAAUAAUUGUUAUCGGUCCCACAAAAAAAGAAAAUUGAAUGAGGAAAGGCGUGAAACGGCAGCCAAUUUCUGUCGUCCCAUCGUCGUGCUUUCGUCUAUUUACCAUUUCUCGACAUUAUUUACAAAUUGUUCUUAUGUUUCACAGAAAAAUGAAACACUGUUCAUCAUACAAAAUUGCAUGACCGAAUCUUCAAUUUUUAUAAUUAUAAAAUAAUGGAUUAUGUGUAUGUUAAUGUUACGGAUAUGAUCAGAUCAUCAUAUAAGUUACUAGACGCAUUAACAAGAACAAGAUCUAAUGAGCUAAAAGUUUUUUUUUUAAAUUAAAUAAAUAAAGAGUAAAAGUAAAAAAAAAUGUUAUUUGCAAUCACUAAAAUGAAAACAGAGGAGCCCUGUUUUUCCUCUCGUUUCUCUUUCUCUCUUUUUCAAGUAGUAGAAAAUGAUAACAGAGUUUGAGAGCUCACUGCUUUCAUUAGUUGGAAAGUGUCGCCUAAAACACUUCCUCUGCUAGGUGGAAUUGUUGGCUUGAAGAGAAGAGUUCUUGUUACAAGCACAAAUUUUAGCUGUACAUUAUUUCCUUUUAAAUGCACCAUUGUUGCACAGAUUUGAACCCUAUGAUCAUUAGUUUUUUGUUUUGAUUUGGUUAGUUCGUGAUGACAAAUAAAUUAUUUUCAUCACAUUAUGGUAAAAAGUUGCCCUCUUUGUUACUUCCACAGCUAUUUAGUUUAAUAUUUUGUAAUAAGAUCACAAAGUGCAUGGGACCUAUUGUUCGGGUACUUAGCCUAAAAUGAAGAUCUAUUAAAAAUUUCCCUGAUGUCAUGAUAUAAAACAAUAAAAGGUACCAACUUCAGCUUAAAUUCAUAUAAAAUUAAACCUUACCACAUACUGUAUUGAAACAAAUUACUCAUCUUUAUUGGUAACAUCAUCACCUUCAUAAAAUAUAUGGUAUCGUACAAAGUUCUUGCGCUGGGUUCGGGCAUCUAACAACGAGGACACAGCAACCUAUUCGCUAGGUUAGAGACCAAAGAGCCAACAGCAAAUGUGCACGACGCAUGUCACUAUCAUGAAAACAACAUUCUUUUUCUUUUUUUUUUCUCCUCAAUAAUUUCAGAUAUAAUAUUUUAACUAAGUUUGUAACACUGUUGAUUGAAAUUAUCAAGUACGAAUGUGUGUAGAUUUUAACAUGUGCACUCAUAAUUAUUAUUGUGCAGUUUUAGACUUAGUUGGGUAUUGAGGUGCUAAAACUUUUGCCGUAAGAAAAAAAAGUUUUAAGUAUAAAAUAAAAUUUAAUAGUAUCUAAUAAAUUUAGUUUUUUAAUAAUAUGUUGAGUACAUAAAAGCCCCAGGUCGGCCAUGCUACUAUUUUCACCCCGGCAUGGAUCACCUUAGCCAAAUGGUAUGAGCAGAACGCAGGAUAAACACGAGCCAACCAGAGACGAGUACCGGCCAGGGUAAUGUACCGACCAGAAUCAUAUACCGAGCCGACACCAAUUCCCCAAAAAAGCGGGAACACGAUCCCACAGAAUCACGGUAGUUGCGCUUUUCCCAGAACCGUUGUGGGAGAUGCGAGAUCCCACGUUUGCCCACAAUGUAGCAGUUAAAAUCCCAUGAGAGGCUACCACUACCCGAGAAAGGGGGGGAUGAAGGGUGAGUGAAAACGUGGGACAGCGGCUAUAAAAGAAGAAGAAACCGAUUAAGAAGGGGAGAGAAAAAUUGAGAGAGGGAAAACGCUGCCAAAUUGCAAUCAUGCCAUUUUCUGACAAGACUCCGAAUAAUUUAGAAACCAUUUUUAGAUCUAAAUUGCACUGUUUUCCCGUAAACACCUUGAGCUAACUUAGGCAUUGGAGGGUUUUCGCCGGCAAAACCACCGGCGACUCUGAUCCGUUUUUGGUGAACGCAGGUCUAGUAAGAGAAAGGAGGGUGAUUCCAACCUCAGAGGUUCGAGCAACAGUCGAUAACGUAAACGUUGGUGAAAGAAUCUGGUCGGUCAAAAGGCGAGCAGAUUUAAGCAUCAACAUUUUGGCGCCGUCUGUGGGGAGCUGGAUAAAAAGCUACCACCGAAUUAGUAGUUACCGGAGAAACAACGAACGAUUAGACAUGGAUUUGCCAAGGAAGGACGCUUUGAGGGAGGAUAACGAAUCGGGGGAGACAAGCACCCUUCGGGAAAUUGCAAAUGAAGCCCGAGAGAGGGUGAUGCAAGAUCGAUUGGAAUAGAUGGAGAAGCAAAUGGAGACUCUCGCUACCAUACUGAAUGAGCUGAGAGAUGAGCGGAGAAGGGAUUGCGAAAUCCCCGUGGGGAGAGAUGAUGUGGGAGCAGAACCCAACCUCCGGAGGCGUAGAGUCGAGGAGAUCCCUCCGCCGGUGGACCAACCUUAUGGGGUGCAUCCCCACAGAAGCACUGGUUGAGUUCCUGGAGAACAAAUAGAUGAAGGGAGGAACUAACCUCGCCCCAGGCGAGCACUGGAAGCUGAUGGCCGAGGAGCCAGUGCUGAUGAAGGAGAGUUAAGACAGCGGUUGCAGAAUGUCGAGCAGGAGCGAGAUCAGAUAGCUGCACGUGAUCCUGACCGUGAUGUAGAAUUGGAGGGAGAGGUGCGCAGAUUAGCGCAAGUGAUAAAGGAGAUACAGGGUAAGAGGAAGCCCCCGAGCUGGAGGAUAAUGCUAGAUGAAGAAUCUCCACUAUCAACUGAGAUCGUGGGUACCAUAAUCCCAAGAGAUUUCCGCUUCCCCGACCUCAAAUACUCCGAGCGAAGUGACCCGCUGGUGCACAUUGAGCGUUUCAACGACAUGAUAGGUGUGCAGGGGCUGACACCAGCUCAGAGGUGCAGGGUGUUCCCGUUGACAUUAGAGGGACGAGCCCGAGAAUGGUACCGCAAGCUGCCCCGAGGAAGUAUAAAGGGGUAUGAGCAGAUGUGCCAGGAGUUGGCCGAGUAGUUCCGAGGGGCAGUGGCCCCAGAGGACGACAUGAUGGAACUGAUGAGGAUGAAACAGGAGGAGCAUGAAUCCCUUCGAGAUUUUGUAAAACGAUAUCACCGAGCCGUGCUAGAUCUGGGGGCUUUUAAUCACCCGCAGGCGUUGAGGGGAUUAAAAGAAGGUGUAAGAAUCGGCCGACUGUGGUAUAACUUAAGAAGCCCCCUUGUACAGAAUUACUCGUCGGGGUAUGAGCAGGCGAGGCGAGAUAUAGAAAUCGAAGAGGAGAAAUCAGCAAGAAUAAAAAGUGAACAGCUGGACGAGCUGAGGCGAAAGGAACGGAGAGCCCCAACAGGGAGCGGGUCGGGAAAACGAGCUGGAGAAUCUUCAGUGAUGGGCGGAAUAUCGGCUCGGUCCCGCCCUUACCCCAUAGCUCCGAGAUCGCAGCAGUUCCAGCACAACCGGGCUCAACCUCCGCGUCCCCCAUUUCCGGAUCGGCAACGAGAAUUCCGGCAGAUGGCUGCCCACCCCUAUCACAACACUCCCAGAGCAUUACAUGCAACCAAUUCCAGGGCUAGUCGACCAGAUCAGUUAGCAACUGGGCCAGCCUGAGGUGACAUUCAUGAUAGCCGAGCAGUUCAGCUGGUAGACCAGAGCUUGGCGUAUAGACAGUACACUCCAUUAAAGAUCUCCAUGGAGGAAUUGUAUGAGAGGAUCGAGGGACGAGGCUUGUUAUACCCUCCAGCCCCUAUAACAAAACCGGCUCACCGACGGGAUAAGAGCAAAUUCUGCAAAUUCCACGACACUCAUGGUCACACUAUCAGCCAAUGUCGUGACCUGAAAAUUCAGGUGGAAGAUUUGGUGAGAAACCGUUAUUUGGACGAAUAUGUAGAUGGAAUGUCCCCCGUCACUGAAUCACAGUACACGCGGGAUGAAGGAGCUGAGAUGGGCCUGGAACGUGAACAGCCGACUAUCCGUAUAAUAGCAGGGGGGCCAACAUUGGCUGGGGAUUCGAACAGGGCACGGGAGAACUAUGGGAGAUAUGCCCUGACUAGCAAAGAAGUGCUUUUCAAUUUUCCGGCAACCAAGAAGGCAAAAGUGCGGCAAGUUCCCAUUAUGUGGACAGAUGACGAUGAAGAGGGUAUCUUAUAUCCGCAUGAGGAUGCAUUGGUGAUCAAGGCAAUGGUGGCUGGUACAGAAUUGCGACGAAUACUAAUAGACACAGGCAGCUCGGUUGACAUCCUGUUUAAGUCGGCUCUAGAUGAUAUGGGGAUUGCAGACUUGAAAUUGGAGCGGACAAAUACAUCCUUAAAGGGAUUUGGAGGGGGAUGGUUAACUCCCAUGGGGAUCACCGAACUCCCAAUUACUAUGGGGACAAAGCCAUUUGAAAGAACAAUGAUGCUGGAUUUUGUCGUGGUAGAGAAAAGAAGCCCUUACCAGAUGAUACUGGAGAGACCGUUCAUGAGGAUAAGCCAAUGUGUUGUAUCCACGCAUUACUUGGCACUGAAAUACAGAGUAAAUGGGGUGGUUGGCGUAGUAAAAAGCGACCAGAGGAUGGCAAGGAGUUGUUAUGCUACAGCAGCCAAGGAGACACUGCAGGUUACUUCUCUAGAUAAUCGAGGAAAGUCUAAAAAGGGCCGCCAAGAGCCUGUUGAGAAGCUGGAGGAAGUUGCGGUAAGCAAAAGCAACCCGAGCAGAGUAGUGAAGAUCGGGUCAGGAUUGGUUGGGGCAGUAAAAGGCGAGCUGAUAAAUUACCUACAGUCUCAUGCGGAUAUAUUCGCCUGGUCUCAUGAAGAUAUGCCCGGAAUUGAUCGCGGGGUAGCUUGCCACAAGUUGGCAAUCAAGAAGGGGGUAAGGCCGGUGAGACAGAAGAGGAGAUGCUUCAACCAGGAAAGGUACGAGGCCAUAAACGCCGAGGUGGAGAAGCUGUUGAAAGCAGGAUUUAUAAGGGAAGCCAAGUACCCAGAAUGGAUUUCAAAUGUCGUCCUGGUAAAAAAGGCCAACGGGAAGUGGAGAAUGUGUGUGGACUUCACGGACCUCAAUAAGGCAUGCCCAAAGGACAACUUUCCCCUACCCAAAAUAGAUCAGCUGGUGGACUCAACAGCAGGUCACAGUCUGCUCAGUUUCAUUGAUGCCUUUUUCUGGAUACAACCAGAUACCCAUGGACGAGCAGGAUGAGGAGAGCACUGCCUUUAUAACUAACAUGGGUUUGUUUUGCUACAGGGUAAUGCCUUUCGGCCUAAAAAAUGCAGGAGCCACCUAUCAAAGGUUGGUAAACAAGAUCUUCAAACCGUUGAUUGGACACACUAUGGAGGUAUAUGUGGAUGAUAUGAUUACGAAGUCCAAAGAGCCGAGGGAUCAUGUGAAGCAUCUAGAAGAGACCUUUGAAUUGCUGAGGAAGUAUGAGAUGAAACUAAACCCGGAGAAAUGCGCAUUUGGGGUAAGCUCGGGCAAAUUUCUGGGAUUCCUGGUAAGCCACCAAGGGAUUAAGGCCAACCCCGAAAAAAUACGAGCGGUUACAGAUAUGAGAUCUCCGCGGACAGUUAAAGAGGUGCAGAGCCUUACAGAGAAGUUGGCAGCAUUGAACCGAUUCAUCUCGCGGGCCACAGAUAAAUGCCACCCUUUCUUCCAAAUCAUAAAGAAAGGGAGAAAGAUGGAAUGGACAUUAGAGUGCGAGGAAGCAUUUGGGCAACUGAAGGAAUAUCUGGCCCGUGCACCGUUACUGUCAACUCCGAGAGAGGGUGACCAGCUGUUUUUGUACUUGGCAAUCUCCAAGCAAGCUACCAGCUCAGUCUUAGUCAGGGAAGAAGAAGGGAAGCAACACCCGGUAUACUACACGAGCAAGGCCCUGGUGGACGCAGAAACCAGAUAUCCACUAAUGGAGAAGUGGGCGCUGGCUCUGAUAACGGCAGCACGCAAACUCCGACCAUAUUUCCAAGCCCACCAGAUCGUUGUGAUGACUGACCAGCCCCUUCGGCAAGUGCUUCAAAAACCAGAUGCGUCUGGUCGGUUAGUAAAAUGGUCAGUGGAGCUGAGCGAAUUUGACCUGACCUACAGGCCCCGAGGAGCAAUCAAGGCCCAAGCCCUGGUAGAAUUUAUGGUAGACCGAGCUGAGCCAGGGGAAGGAGAUCGGGAGUAGCAACCGUUAGAGCAGGAGAAAACAGAGGGGAUGUGGUUGGUAAUGGUUGACGGAUCAUGUAGUGAGCAAGGAUCCGGAGCAGGAGUUGUAAUACGGAGCCUAGAAGGAUCCGAAAUAACGUAUGCAGUAAAGUUUGAAUUUCAGCUCGCAAACAACCAAGCUGAAUAUGAAGCCUUUAUCACCGGGCUCGGACUCGCACAUGCCUUAAAAGCAAAAAGGGUAAAAAUUCGAGCAGAUUCCCAAUUGGUAUGUAAUCAGCUCAAUGAUCAGUUCCAAGCAAGGGGAGAGAAGAUGGGCCUUUAUUUGAAGAAGGCGAAGUAGAUGGUCGGGCUUUUCCAAGAGGUGGAGGUGAAGCAGAUAUCUCGGAAUGAGAAUUACCGAGCAGAUAUUUUGGCUAGGAUGGCUGCAGUUGCAGAUCCGAAAUUACCUAAGUCGGUUCCACUAGAGGUAAGGACCUCGCCAAGUAUAGGAGAGGAGGUAGAGGUGAUGAGAGUAUGCAUUGGAGAAUCAUGGAUGGACCCGAUUCGCGCAUAUAUCCGGGAUGGAAUCUUACCAGAGGACAAACAGCAAGCCAGGAGAUUAAAAUGCCGAGCAGCGAGGUACACUCUACUAGAUGGAGUGCUGUAUCGCCGAGGGUUCACCUUACCCCUUUUGAGAUGUGUGGAUGAUGAGGAGGCAGAUUAUGUACUGAGGGAGAUUCAUGAAGGAAUAUACGGCAAUCACUCGGGAGCAAGAACUUUAGCCUUCAAGGCACUCCGGCAAGGAUACUUUUGGCCAACUAUGCACCAGGAUGCGAAAAGGAUGGCAAAGAACUGUAAAACCUGCCAAAGCUUCUCUAAGGUUCCUGCACAACCCCCAGAGAAGCUGACCACUAUGACAUCCCCGUGGCCUUUCGCUCAAUGGGGAAUCGACUUGAUUGGUCCGUUACCUAAGGGCCGAGGAGCGGCGACACAUGCAAUUGUGGCAAUAGACUACUUCACCAAGUGGGUAGAAGCGGGAGUCCUCAGCCAAAUCACCGAGAGGAAGACAACAGAUUUUAUUUGGAGAAAUAUCAUUUGCAGAUACGGGAUCCCCUAUGCCAUCAUUACAGAUAAUGGGAGACAAUUUGACAACAGCAACUUCAGGGAAUUUUGCCGAAAUUUGGGGGUGGACCUGAAGUUCUGCACCCUCGCACACCCCCAGGCAAACGGACAAGUGGAAGCAGCCAACAAAGUAAUAAAAAAGCUUUUGAAAACUAGAUUGGGAGAGAAGAAGGGAGCCUGGGUUGACGAACUACCAGGAGUAUUAUGGGCCUACCGGACAACUCACAAAACCGCCACAGGGGAAACCCCGUUCGCUUUAGCCUUUGGUCAUGAGGCGGUAAUCCCAGCAGAAAUCGGAGUAGGAACACAUCGAACAGAAUAUUUCGCUGAGGAGAAAAACGACGAGCAGAUCUGCUUAAACCUGGACCUGCUGGAGGAGAAAAGGGAAGGGGCCUCGCAGAGAGUGGCCCAGUGUCAGCAACGGGUCAUGCGCUAUUACAACAAGAACGUACGCGUGAGGCAGUUCCGAGCAGGAGAUUGGGUACUUAGGAAGGUGAACCAAAACACCAGGAAUCCUAACCAUGGCGCUCUUGGCCCAAAGUGGGAAGGCCCGUAUAGGGUGGUACGAGCCACUGGACCAGGAGCUUAUAAGUUAGCGUACCUAGAUGGACGAGACGUGAGGAGGUCAUGGAACGCCGAGCACUUGAAGAAGUAUUUCCAGUAAGCAAAGUGCUCUACCAAAUCUUCAUUUUGACAAAUUGUUUGUGUUAACUGCAUGAUGGCUUGAUGCAUAUGUAUGUAUUCAGUAUUUUUGUAACACAUUCAUGUUUCAAAUAAAGAUGAAUUCAGCAUGAAAUCCCCCUACUAGCAAAGCCAAAUAAAAAUUCUACGAAGGCAAGCAAAUGCCUACUUCUGCUUGGUCAACGAAAGACCAGCAGCUAAUUUUACGAGAAAUUCACUAAGGAAAGUGAGUGCCUGUUUCUGCUCGGUCAACGAAAGACCAGCAGCUAAUUCCGCAAAAAUUCUAUUAAGGCAAAUAAGUGCCUAUUUCUGCUCGGACAACGAUAGACCAGCAGCUAAUCUACGAAAAUUCUACUAAGGCAAGUAAAUGUCUGAUUCUGCUCGAUCAAUGAAAGACCAGCAGCUAAUCUACGAAAAUUCUACUAAGGCAAGUAAAUGCCUGAUUCUGCUCGGUCAAUGAAAGACCAGCGGCUAAUCUACGAAAAUUCUACUAAGGCAAGAAAAUGCCUGCCUCUGCUCGGUCAACGAAAGACCAGCAGCUAAUCUACUAAGGCAAGUAAAUGCCUGCCUCUGCUCGGUCAAACGAAAGACCAGCAGCUAAUCUACUAAGGCAAGAAAGUGCCUGCCUCUGCUCGGUCAGCGAAAGACCAGCAGCUAAUCUACGAAGGCAAGUGAGUGCCUGCUUCUGCUCGGUCAACAAAAGACCAGCAACUAAUCCUACGAAAAUCCUACUAAGGCAUGAAAGUGUCUACUUCUGCUCGGUCAACGAAGGACCAGCAGCUAAAUUUAUGAGACUUUUACUAAGGCAAAUAUGUGUCUGCUCCUGCUCAGUCACCGAAGACCAGCAGGCGAUUUUGCGAAAAUUUUUACCAAGGCAAACGGAUGCCUAUUCCUGUUCGAUGCACUAAAGAACCAACAGGCGAAACCAGACAAAAAAGCCAAUAGAGAGCAUUUAAAAAAUUUUAUAAACGUUCAAAUGUUUACAAAGCAAAUGAAAAACUAGAGUCUUUACAAAAAUAGACCUAAGGAUUAGGAGGAUCAACGGCCUCAGCAGGUGAAGGGUCAGCUAUCUCGGGAGGUGGAAGGUCAGCAAUAUCGGGAGGAGGAGGCACGGACCCCUGCCCCACUUCAAAAACACGCUGCCCAGCUUCUCCCUCCUGCACCCCAUUCAAAGGAACCUCCACCUGCUCCUGCUCAUCCUGCUCCUUAUCUCCUUGGCCGGCCCCAGCCAUAUACCUCUCCACCCCAGAUUCCAGCUUGCUCAUGUCGAGCUCGGGGUAUUCUUCCUUGAGUACAGACAUGAUGCACUUAUAGCUGAAAGCAACCCCGGAGUUAUACUCAGCAUCCAACCGAUCAUCCACAUCAGCGGAUUUGCCUUUCUCUUCAGCCAGCUGGUCACUCAGGGAUUUGAUCUCUCCCUCAAGGGCGGUCCUCAGAGUAUCUCUUUCACUUUGAGUAGCCUGAAGAUCGGACUUCAGAUCACCCAGCUCACCCUCAAGCUUGGAGGAAGUAGACUCAGCAACCGCAACUUUCUCCUCAAGCUCCGUAAGCUGCUUGUUCAGCUCGGCCAGCUUCUCUUUGGACCGAUCAGCAGAUUCGGCUUUCUUUUUCAACUCCUGGUUAUCAGCUUGAAGCUUCCUCUCAUGACGCGCGGACCCGGUCUUGUAGCACGAGACCAUUGUGGCCAGCCUGAAAGAGACUCUUUGAACAGAAGCAGCUAACUCGGAGAGGUCCAUGCUCUCGAUGUCCUUCACCAUCUUGGGCCCAACCGAUUUUUUGUAAUCUUUCUGGUAUAGGCUCAGGUAGUCACCUUGAUCCCGAGAUGGAAGAGGAGCAGAUCGGUCCCCAGACUGCAAGCUGACCUCAGGACUCUUGUCGGAGGUUUUCUCCCCACCACUCUUACAGGGUGGGGGAGGGGGCAGAGCAGGGACAGGAGCCUUGGAGGGGCCGACACUAUUCUUCUUUGGAGGAGGAGGAAGGUUGCUGGAGCUGCUUGGAGCCCGACCACGCUUCCUGCUCAUUGCGCUGAGGAUCUUGUUAUCCAUUCCAGCGGCUAUGUCCACUAGGCCCGAACCGACCAGGUUUGUUGGUGACAGGAGGUCUUGGCAGGUAGACGCGUUCACCAGAGCAGUUUCCACCUGAAGCAAAGGCCGAUCUUCAAGCCCCUUUAUCAAACCCCACGACUCUGAAAGAACAAACAAGGUUAAAGAACCCAAUAAGUAACAAGUCGAGAAAGAGUAUAGGCAAAAAAUAAACGACCUGGGGUGACAAAAUGUGUUGGAAGGUAAAUAUCACCACCCAACGAAUGAGCUGCUGGACACUAAGCUCCUCCAGCAAAGAAGAAUUUGUUCUUCCAAUUUUUGCACGAGGAGGGGAAGCCGGUGAUUGGUUUCCUCUUCGCAGAGCUUGACAUGAAGUAAUACCAGCUUGCUUCCUUCGGGCUACUCCUCAGCUGGUAUAGAUGCUUCACUUCAACGAGGGAGGGCUCCUCUGAUCCACACCUCUUCCACAACACAUAUAUAGCCGAGAGAACCCUCCACCCAUUGGGAUAUAGCUGACCUAGGGCCAGAUGCAUACCACCCAAUAUCUUAGCGAAAUAACGUUAAAGGGGCAGCCGAGCUCCUAAUUUGAAGCUCUCCAGGUGCAUCGUCACAUACCCCCGCGGAGGCCGACUAGGGACGUCACCUUUUCCUGGAACUACCAGGAGAAUCUCCGCAGGAAUGUCGUAAAGGUUCCUCAGCUUGAACAGAUCAGUUUGGGUGGUGACACAAGCUGUGUAGUCAAUAGGGUAAAAAUCCGCCUCUACCCUAUGACCAAGGUGCCUUCUCUGAGGAGGUCCGCUCGGUCCAGAGCUGCUCCCCUCACCAUCACCAACUCCUUCAAGGAUCCCAACCCCAUCAAAGCUGUGCUUCUCACCAGAGCCCGACGCAGGUCCACCUCUAUUCCCUACAAGCUCUAGUUCGGGGGAGGGAGAGACAACCAAAGGGCGUGGGUACUCAAGGGUAUCCCUGCCAUGGGAAGGACCUACACUACUGGAGGGACCUAAGAAAUCGGUGGGUAUUGGCACGUUGAGGCCCGAAUCCCCUGAUUCUUCCUCGCCCUCAUCAACAAUUAACUUUCUUUUCCGGUUUGACAUAUCGGAAUCCCAAAAGAAAGCAAAGAAAACUCGAAUGUACGGAUACAAAAGGGGGCAACACGGAACCCAAUCAACAACAACAAGAGAAGAGAUUAAAAGCAGUACCUGAGAUUAACUGGCCCUGAUAGCGCUGCCGUGACAGAGAAAAAACCAGCAAGUAGAAACUCCGGACGCAGGAAGUGUGAGUAAAGUUCAGAGAGGGGGCUGGUUAACGGUGGAGAAACGGAUAAACAAAGCAAUGAGGAUUUCAACCUAGGGAUUUGAAGUGAAAAGGGGAAAGAUAGAAGCAUUUAAGUGAUGAGGAUGCCAGCUCACUCACCACAUAUCGAGGGUGGAUAGCCCGUCGUUUCAAAUUUCAAAUACGAAGAGUCUGGUGAUGCCACGUCACUAACCGUUACAAGAGGCCAGGAUAGAUGUAAGCCCAGAUAUGCAAUGGACAUGUUCACUUAGGCCCAUGCUCAGGUCGGAGUCUCCCCAGAAGAAAAAUGGUACAUCAGGUCAGGCCCAUCCCAAUAAACAGAGGACCAGAUGAGAAGCUCCCCGGGUUGGUGAGAUUUGACCAUCAGUUUCUACUCUUAACUCAUUUCACUCGCCAGACCAGAAACUGGGGGACUGGUGUUGAGUACAUAAAAGCCCCAGGUCGGCCAUGCUACUAUUUCCACCCCGGCAUGGAUCACCUCAGCCAAAUGGUAUAAGCAGAACGCGGGAUAAACACGAGCCAACCAGAGACGAGUACCGGCCAGGGUAAUGUACCGACCAGAAUCAUAUACCGAGCCGACACCAAUUCCCCAAAAAAGCGGGAACAUGAUCCCACAGAAUCACUGUAGUUGCGCUUUUCCCAGAACCGUUGUGGGAGAUGCGAGAUCCCACGUUUGCCCACAAUGUAGCAGUUAAAAUCCCAUGAGAGGCUACCACUACCCGAGAAAGGGGGGGAUGAAGGGUGAGUGAAAACGUGGGACAGCGGCUAUAAAAGAAGAAGAAACCGAUUAAGAAGGGGAGAGAAAAAUUGAGAGAGGGAAAACGCUGCCAAAUUGCAAUCAGGCCAUUUUCUGACAAGACUCCGAAUAAUUUAGAAACCAUUUUUAGAUCUAAAUUGCACUGUUUUCCCGUAAACACCUUGAGCUAACUUAGGCAUCGGAGGGUUUUCGCCGGAAAAACCACCGUCGACUCUGAUCCGUUUUUGGUGAACGCAGGUUUAGUAAGAGAAAGGAGGGUGAUUCCAACCUCAGAGGUUCGAGCAACAGUCGAUAACGUAAACGUUGGUGAAAGAAUCUGGUCGGUCAAAAGGCGAGCAGAUUUAAGCAUCAACAUAAUAAUUUUGAUAAAAUUAGAAAAGAUAUAAUAAUUUUUUUAUUAUAUAAGUGUAAAAUCAAAUCAUCUUAACUUCUAAACUACAACAACUAUAACAUUUGAACUAUUCAAUCUCAAUUCCUAAUAGACUCUUAAUUUAUAAUUAGAUUGUCACUAAAAGAUUUUAAGUAUGUAUUUUAGAAUUUAACGAAUACACUUUUAAACUACCUUUGCCGGAUGAAAUGUUGGGAAAUUUUUAUUAAGAUCCAAAAGUAUUUGAAAUAAAUUUAUGUUUUUAUGAUGCCAAAAAAAAUAAAAAAUUAUGAACAUUUUUGUGAAGCUUAGGCGAAAAUUUUUGUUAGGCUCUAUUGGGCUAGAUGAGCAGCUCGGGCAGUUAAUUGUCGCCCAAGAAGCCCAACCCAGAUUACAACAAGCUGGGAUUUAGUUAGCUCGUUGACGGCCAUUUGGGUAUGCAUGAAUUGGGUGGAUGAUUAAUAAAUACGUUUUAUUAAUUAUUUCGCCGAUUGGGAUAUUCUCCUAAUUUAAUCUUUUCUAAUAUUAUAAUAAAGAGAUUUUGACAUGUGUAAUACAUGUGUUAUUUUAAUAAUCCAAUAGAUAAUAUCUACUUUAUUUUUAUCUUUCGUUAUUAAAUACAAAAACACUAAUAAAAAAAAAAUGACUUAACUCUUUUUAUAUUUUUAAUUUUUAUUUAUUUCCUUUUAUUGCUUUCCUAGCAAUGUUCAUCUUUUUACUAUACAACAUCCAUAACCUUAACUUUGGAAAUAAAAGAGAAUAUGUGAAAGUAUAAGUAGGAGAAAGACUUCAUUGAAAUCAAACAAAUUGGGCAACGUUAGAUUUUUCUUUAAAAUUCUCAUGAGAUAUUAAUUAGUAGUAUUAUCACUGCUGCCUGCCUAUUUCUAACCUCAACCAAUAUAUGAUCAAUGCUUGAUUUGGUCAAUCUAAAUAAUUAUGAUCGAUGAUUGGAUAUUGUUGAAGGGCGGCCCUAAGGAUGAGAGAGGGGAAUGCGUGUGCAAGCCACAUGUGUGAAGAAAAAGAAAAAGGCAAGAGUGAAGAUGACGACGAUUAAAAUCUUGUUUGAUUUCUUUUUCUGAUAAUUUUGUUAAUCUGCUGUUGUUAGUUCCAAAAUUUUAGUUAGCAACAAAAUGACAUGUUUUUGUGUUUAAUAAGGAAAAAGUAAAUAAUAUAUUUUCUAUAGGAUUCUUAGAAUGGAUUAGAUUAGACUACGGAGAGAAAUAUAUUUGAGAAUAUUAGUGUUGAGUUAUUCUAAUGUCUUUAAUAGUAAAUUCAAUUAAGACUAUUUUAGUAAUAUAUUUUUUUUAUUGAAAUUAGAGUGUUCAAAGUUAUAAAUAAAAAAUUCAAUAAUUUUUUAUUGAAUUUAUAUAACUCUGGAUUCUUUUUUUUUUUUUCCAACACUGAUAUGGUUCUGUUCUGUGUAUUUAUAUACAAUUUAAUGUUUACAUACAAAUUAAAUAAGAUCAAUUUAAUGUUUAUAUACAAUCCUUCAAGUCGUAACUCAAUUUUAUGGAGGUUUAUACAUCUGCACGCAUUCCUUGAAUUUCUCCUAGAUUGGAACUUCUUAAUUGAUCCAAUGCAUUUUUCCAACAGUCAAGAUCCUUAGUUGUCAGAGCAUUUGCAAUCGUACUCAGUGCACCAGGCAAACCUCCGCAUCUUUCAACGAUCGAGGAGUAUUUUUGUUGAAUCACCGACUAUAUUCUCAAAUAACUGCAAUGCUUCUUUUUUUGAUAACGCAUCGAUCGAGGAAUUUUUCUGAGAUUUCAUAUCAUUGCACAAUAAUAAAUCUCGACUUCUAGACGUCAAUAUUAUUUUGCAUUGUCUCUGAUCGUCAACAUCCCCGGAAGUUAAUGAACGGAAUUCUUUUAUCCUUUCUAUCUUUCUCAUCAACAUCCCCGGAAGUAACCACAUCGAACAACUUAUCUUCCCUCACUUGCUUUGCAACAUCUUGGAAUACUUUCAUUCUGGAAUCAAAGGCUACGUAAUCUUUCACUUGCACGUACUCUGUACUCUCUGGAGCAGGACGGUAGGAAACAUGAUUACAGAUGUUAAAUUCGCCUUUUUUCACAAGUUUAUCAGCUUCGUUUGCGGCCUCUGCUGCUUGUUUACCAAGCUUGUAACGAGAAAUCAAAUUUGGGCACAACCCUUUGAAGCAGAACAUCUUAGCUCUAUCUUUAUCAUCAAUCAUGGAUUUUGCAACCCCUUCACUGAAUUCAGCAACUCUAUUUAGCCAGUCUCAGACACCCUUAUAAAUCUCAUCUCCUUGUAGAGUAGCCUCUCUAACCAGCGUUUUCACCCUUUCUCUUAUAUAUUCCAGCUCCUUCACUCAAUCUUUUAGCCCAUCUAUGUAGCUUUGGUAUUCGAACACAUAAGAUAUGUGCCGCAUAAUCGGUUCGAAUAAUGCUUUUGAACCUUGUGAUACAAUGCUGGAAAAAGCAGGGAGACACCCUUCAACAGCCAUUGCCUGUUGCUUAACAAUAUAUAUAUAUAAAUACAAGUGUCAAAGAAAGGAAUGCAAAUAAAUUAAAAUGAACUAGAGGGAAAGAUAGAGAAUGAAAAGAUCACAAACAAUAUGGCUAUAUUGAUCUUGAACCAACUAAUAACUAAAUAGAGAAUUUCUUUUUCUUUCUUAAGGAUAAGAGGUUUUACUAUUAACAAAAAGUUAUUUUGAGGGUCUGAAUAAAAAACCAACCAUAAAUUAUCAAAAGCUAGUAAAAACACAGACAUAAAUAAUGAACAAUUACUUAAGCAAAACAAACUAUGAAACAAAGAAAAUCUAAUAAAAUGACAAAGAAAGAAAGAAAGAAAAUACAACAAAAAGUAUUGAAGUAUUGAUCAUGAGCCAACUGAUAUUUAAACAGAUUUUUUUUUUAAUUUUUAGUCUUUUGCUAAAGGAUUAGAGUUUUUGCUAUUAACAGAAAUGUUUCAAAAAUCUAACACUACUAGAAAAGUAUUAAAUAAUGACAGAAAUUUGAUGACAUAUAUCGUUGUGUCACGAAUGUGUCAUAAAAAUAUGAUAGAUUCAUAAUAUAUAUUCAUAUGUCCAGAAUAUAUGACAUAUUCAUGACUUAUAAUUUAACCGUCCUAGAUAAAUGAUACAUAUAAGUCAUGCUUAGGUUUUGUGAACUUAUAAGAUUGUAAAACAGUGUUGUUUAAAUUAACGACACCGUUCUGUAUAACUUAAAACACAUCAACACUUACAGCCAAAUUUUGGCUAAGCGUUGAAUGAAUCCCUCUCUCUCCACUGGCCACUGCAACCUAAAAUGAAUGUUUAAAUUAACGACACCGUUGAAUUAAAGCCUAGCUCAAAUUCCUUUUUUCAAUCGAAAUAAAACGUAGCCACAAAACCCUAAUUCACCACACCAAAUUAUCUCUGCUCGGUAUUCAUUUAAACCCUACCUCGCGGUUCAAUGUCAUUCAAUACGAUUGCAGAUGCCGUUUCAACUUGUCAUUUAGUUAGCGCCAUCCAGUUCCCUAUGGUAAGCCUUAACCCUAACGCUAGUAAGAUUUGCUAAAAAUUUCAUAUUUUGUAUUGUUCCAGUUGAAUUUCAUGUUAAUUUAAUUCUUCUUUGCCUUCUUUUUUCUUCUUCUUUAUAGUCACGCUCUGGCUUUGGUGCUAUGCUUAGUGCAGUUUGUGGUUUCAAGAUUAAGUCAUGUUUAUUUGAUGGCAUCGAUUCCAUCGUUGAGGAUUGGAUUGUUGAUCAAAUGCACCUAGUAAGCUCUUCUUAUUUUAUCUCAGUUUCAAUUUUCUUUUAUUAUCUGCCUCUACCUAAAAAUGGACGUGUUUUACUAGUAAGCAUAGACUUUGUUUAUUUAAUUGAUAUUUUAAUUUUAUGUAUAAGAAUGGAGGUUUAUUUUGAAAAAAAAAAAAGGAAAUUAAAAAAUAGAUUCUGUUGAAGCUAAUUAGUACUGAAUUUUUUUGGUGGUGCGACCAGAGGUGGAAACAGGGUAUGAAAAUGUGUUACUGGUGAGGUUGCUGCUUAAGAUGAGAAUGCAUUCUUUUCAAAAAUCCUUGGUAGGUGUUAUCUAAUUAUCUUUGAUGGAAUAUCAAAUGGCUAAAAAUCUGUCAUACGUUCAAACUUUGUUUGUGUUUAGAAGAAUGGUGUUGACUGUAUAUUCGUUUGGAAGAAUGGUGUUGAUUGUAUAUUCAUUUGCUUAGCCUUUUGACAGAUGGAUUGUAUAAUUGUGUUUGCCUCACUGUUUUUUUUUUAUGAGAUCUAUAAUUGAUCUGGGGAUAUUACUUUCUAGUUCUCAUGCAAGCAAGUUACUACCUUCCCACUGCAUCUCGUCCUUUAUCUGCUAUUCAAGAGAUGCGUGCCAUAAUCUGGUGUUACCUCUGCAAGAUUGUGAAUGAAUAUAAUGCCUCUAAAUUUAUUUUAUACAUAAUGCUGAUGCUGAAUAAUAUAUUGUAGCUCCUGUCAUAUUCUACUUUGACUUUUUAUAUUCUGUUUCAUAUAAAAAUCUUAUUCAACUUUAGUUGUUCAUGAGCAAAUGUCGCAUGUAUAAGCCCAAAUGAUGUUUAAAGGUAGCGCGGCUACCUUUAGUUUGAGCUUACAAUGGAUGAAAAAGAAAUUGAAACUGUUUUUCUGAUUUUUCAAAGUAUUUUAGAUCCUGACUUUUGUUUGGACUUGAUGGUUAUAGAUUGUGUCUAGAUUUGUUAAGUUGUUUCCAACACCUCGUGCCAAAUGAAAGCACAAUCUUUCUGAUUCAGAUGUUUGGUUAAUUAUGCUUCAUUUUUUUGUUAAAGAUUGGAUGGUUGCAUGGAUUGAUGGAGUUGGAGUUCAACCAAUAAUUCUAAUUUUUUGGACUUAAAAUGCCUUUUUCUUCUGUAUAAAAACUUUAGUAAGUGCUAUUGAGUUGACAGAAGUUGAAUACUUACAGGUUGUUUCACACUUUUUAAUAGUUUUACAUAUAUGAAUUUCUGUUUUUUGAAUUGCAGAAAGGAGGUGGAACUAUUGAUUUGGAGCCUUAUCUUACUCACUCAUCGACAACGGAGCCUACCCUCGCUCCCAUGGCAGUGGAACGGACAACGACUACUAGGGCUGCAACAUCAGUUGGUUUGGGUCUGUUUUGAGUUUAUUUUCAUUUAUUUGGCUAUGUUUUGAUAGCGAAUUUUGAUAUGUCAAUAUAAUGUGUAAUUGUUUUGGGUUGAGCUGGUAUUUAUGCUGGAUUAGAUUGGUUUGGUUUUGGUGCUUCUCUGAUGGAACACUGCUUCUUUUAGAAAUUUUGAAUGUAAUAUGAGACUACAUUUAGUUUAAUUGAACACUGCAUCUAGUCUAAUUACUAGAAGUGUGGCAUUUGGUUUGGUUUAUCCGAUAUUCUCCAGAAUUUCACUUGCAUCUGGUUUUGUUGCAUAUGUUUGCUUGCAUUUGAUGGCAGUAGCAGACUGUUUGGUUUUGUGACAUUUGACGGCAGUUUGGUCUGUUCUUGGUGUUGAUUUAAGAUUGUUCCUGUUGUGCUGAUGUUAAUUGCAGGUGCUGGAAUCAGCUAGGGUUGCUGGUUUAUUCAGAUAGUUGACUCAGGCGUUGUUACUGGUUAAUUCAGGUGGCUGACUCAAGUUGUUCAUUUAAUGUUAGGAAGCAAAUUAAGAAUUAAUGAAGUAUUCAUUUAACUAUAAUUAUUGUAGUUAUUUUAUUUCAUAACUGAAUUAUAAUCUAUGGUACUUGUGAACAAAUUAGAGAAUUUUUAUAUAUGAAUUAUAUAUAUGUGUGUGUAUGUACAUUUUGCUAUUUAUGUAAUAAUUUAAAGAAUAUAUUUCAAUUCCCACAAAAAAAAUGGCUCCAAUUUCAAUAAUUCCCGCCAAAUAAUUAAUUUUUUUUUAAUUUACCACUAAAAUAUAUCUUAAAGAAAUUUUAGUUAUUCUUGCUAGAUUUAACAAAAAUAAUUUGUAGGAUUAACAUUUAAUUAAAAUAAUUAAAAAAUUUUAUUAUUCCAAUUAAAAAUGUCAUGUUUAUACGAUAGACAAUAUUCAUGAAUGGGAAGUAUUAGUUACAUAUUUUUCCUUGGGAUUUCAGGCAAAUGAAAAAAAGAUUGAGAAUGAUUUCAAGAGGACAGGUGGAUGAUAAGUAUUCAUUUUUGUAUAUUUGGCUAGUGGAUUUUUAUGGUAUUGAUCUUUUUUUAAAAAAAAAAAAAAAUUUCAAUUAGUUGCAGCCCUAGAGGAAGAGCAGGCUGAUCAAAUUGAUUUGUCUUGUUUUUCGGGCAAUCUACGACACGAUGACUGUGAUAAUGCUCGUGACUGCUGGAAACUUUCUGAUGGAAAUAACUUUAGAGUUCGUAGCAAGCAUUUUUGUUAUGACAAAACAAAGGUUCCCCCAUAUUUUGUUUGUUUGUUAUGGUAUUUAUAUAUCCUGCAUAGGCUAGGUAGACAGGUUAUGAUGUAGUUUGGUUGGCUCUUCUUGUGCUUGUGCAAUUUGUAACUGCAGAUACCUGCGGGAAAACAUUUAAUGGAUCUUGUUGCUGUUGAUUGGUUCAAAGACACAAAGAGAAUGGACCAUGUAGCUAGGCGUCAAGGCUGUGCUGCACAAGUAACUAUUCUUUUCUUUUUAUUUUUCCUUUUCCAUUGAUGCAUUAGGAGAAAAUACUGCCUGUGAGAUACUACAAUGUAAAUAACUUCUCAUGGUUCAUUGAAUCUAUAACACACUGACCCUCUUCUAAAAAAUGUAGGU